UUUGAUAUUGUUAUUUUUCAAAAAUUGAUAAUCUUACAAUAGAAGUUUAGCAAAUUGUUUGUUAGAGUUACAUACAACAAUAAAGGCAUAAUUAAAGGAAGCUCAAAAAUAAAAAAAGAUCAAUGUAGAUGCCUAUUACAAGGAAUAGUCAUAAUUCAAUAUAAGUAAUAAGAUAUGGCUACUUUGUCACAAUAUUAAGACUAGUUGUCUUUGUGGCAAGUUGGACUAUUAUAGGCUUGUACCUUUUUCUAUUAGUGAACAAGUCAAUUUUGUUACUUAUUGAUUGUAUUUACCACAAUCUAUGAAGAUCCAUCCCAUAUUUCAUGUGUCUCUUUUUGAGCCAUAUAAGACAAUGAAUAUCUCAAAAAAAAGACAAAUGCCACUUCUUCUUAUUGAAAUAGAUAAUAAUCAAGAAUUUGAGAUGGAAGAAGUUUUAAAUUGAAGGCAAUGCCAAAAUAGGUUAAAAUAUCUUAUUUAUUGAUAUGGAUAUGAUAUUAGUAAAUAUAUAUGGAAGGAAGCAAAGAAUCUUACAAAUGCAAUAAAGAAGAUUGAGUUCUUUUAUCAAUGAUAUCCAUCAAAAUCAAGAUGAUGAAUAGAAAAUCUUUACUAUAAAAGAAAUAAGAUUUAGAAAAGAUAGCAUUCUACCUUCUACUCUUAUUUGUAAUUUUUAUGUAUUUAUUAUACUAUAGAGAUAGAGAACCAAUAACUUACAUAUUUAGUUCAAGAGCUAUUAUUUUCUUACUUAACAAAUGAAACAUUGUAAUUGUCACAACCUUCAAGAGAAUAUAAUCAAGAUGAAGAUUUUCAAGAACAACAUGUAUUUCCUCAAAUAGGUGGUGAGAUAUAAUGUAUUUGAUAUGACGACCUUAGAAGAGACUCCCAAUGUUUGGUGAUUUUAUUAGAGGUAGGAAUGACUCUUGAUGGUGUUUUAAAUAUUUUAUUUGAAAAAAGUUAUAUAGGUGUCAACAACAAUGAAAUAACAAGGUGGUCUUCUCAUCCUAAUAUAAGAUACUAUUAAUGGUUGAGAAGAAUUAUUAAUCAUCUUUACAGAGAAUAAAGAUUAGAAUAUAUAGCAAACAUAUUUGCCACAUCUUGAAAUUCCUCAAUAUAUGAUAAUUGUUUCUUAUAAAACUUGUCUUUAGAAGAAGGAGUAAUAUCACAGACAUAUAUAUUUAUCCUAAUAAUUAUCUAUAAUAUUAAUUAAAAGUAUAUGAAUAUAAAUUUAUUUCAUACUAUUUUCUAAAGAAGUUUUUUGAAGCUUCAUAGAUAUUACUUUGACUUUACAAGUGUUUGUAGUUGAUUGAUAGAUUAGAAACUUUAUCAAUAAAUUAAUUACAUGUUAGUAGCUUAUAAAAUAAGCUAAUUAUGUAGCAUACAUAUAAAAAAUUUGCCUUACAAGUUAAGAUAUGUAUCUUGUAAAAUCAACACGUUUUAGAGGCCUUAUAAGAUAUCACCACAUUAUUGUAUUAUGUGUAUUCUUGCUUGAGAAUGCACCAGAUGCCUAAUUAAGGAAGGUAAGUAGAAAUACAAAAACAAUCCUAAUAAGUCUAAUAGAAUCUUAAAUGACCUUAGAUAAACCUUAAUAAUUCAAGUCGAACUUUGAUCAAUCAAAAAUAAAUUUAAAAGAAGUUAUAAAAGAAAUACAAAGAAGUUCCAAAUUAAUUUCAAAGAAAAAUCAUAAGAAAUUUUAAAGAAAUAUAAAAAUAAACCUUAAAAGAAAUAAUAAUAAUAUUAAUAAAAUAAUAGAAAUAGAAACCUUUAAAGAAAUAAUAAAUAAAUCUUUUAAAAUAUUAAAAAUAAAAACCUUAAUGUAAUCCUAAUUGAAAUUCUAAUUGAAUCUUAAUCAAAUCUUAGAUCAAAUCUUAAUUGAAUUUUAAUAAAAUCCUAGGUCAAAUCCUAAGUCAAAUCGUAAUUGAAACCUGAAUGAAAUUUUAAAUUCUAAAAAAAUCCUACACUAGUUCUAAACUAAAUCCUAAGAAAAUCCUAGAUCAAAUCCAAAACCAAUCCUAAUCAAACCCUAGAUUUUAAUCAAACUCUUAACAAAGUCUAUAGCAAAUGGAACCUCAAAAACUAAUAAUCAAAUCAUUGAUAUCAACUGAAAUUUUGCAUAUUUUUUAAUAUCUCAAUUAAAAACAAUCACAAGAAAGAUGAAACCAAUUGCAAUUACAUAUUGAGAGAAAAAUAAGAUAAUCCAAUCAAGUAUUAAGUGGCUUCUUAUUCCAAUCUAAAUACUAAACUUCUAGUGCCAAUAUCUCUUUCUUGAACCAUUGAAUUGCUUCUUAAUUUCACCUAAAAUAUUGAAAAUCAAGUCGUAUAUUUAUAUAAAAAAAAUUCACUUCAAUCCAAUUGAUAGAUCAUUGGCAAUCAUAGAAAUACUCAUUGAUCUUCAAACUCUAAGACCUUAAUCCACAAAAACCUUCACACUUUGAUCUAACUAUUUCAUUGACCUUAAAAUUUGCAUACAAAGUAAUAAUUGGAACAUCAAUAAACUUUCCAAAAUUCAUCCAUAGUCACACCACAAAACUCAAGAAACUCUCAAAUUUAUAAAUAUAUUUUUAUUUCUCCAAAAUCUUAAGUAAUUAAAAAUAUCACUAACUUCAAAAUCCGUCAAAAAUUCAAUAGUGACUUAAUUGAUCUAAAACCAAUGCUCAAAAAUCUUUCUUCUAGUUUGUUAUCAAAUUCCACUCUUUUAUAUACCAAGGAACCUUAGAUUCAUUGUAGAUUUGUAGUUUUAUACCUUAAGAUCUAAUUUUAACCUAUAUUAAUAACUAUUCUCUUUAGAUAUCAAGUUUUAGCUUUUUGAGGUAAAUUUUGCUAAAAUCUACAUUUAAUUCUUUUUUAUAUAUGCUUAGAUCAUUUUUUAUUUCAUUUACUUUGAUUUGGUUCAUUUAUGCCUCUACAAAGUAAAUAAAAGUUCCUUCUAUAAAAAAGCAACAUUAAAACUAAAUCUUUUAUUACCUUUCUAUCAUUUAUUUUUAUUUUUUUAUUACAUCUUUUUGUUAGACUCUUCUAUAAUAACAUCCAUAUUUUUAUUUUUCAUUAUAUAGUUGUGUUACCACAUAACAACAUAACUCCUAGUUAAGAGUAUAUAUAUAAACAAGAGUAAAGUCUUCUUUAUUCUUAUAAAUUCCUUUCUAGUCUUUAGUCUUGUUUCAAGACUUUUUAAUCUUUUUGUCUUUAGCAAUAACUAUUAAAAUUUAAUACUAUAUCAUCUAUGAGUGAUUUUCUAGUCUUUUUGAAUGACACAAGAAUAUAUUGACAUUUUAGUUCUUUAAGGUUCAUGUCUUUGAUACUGGCUCAAAAAUAUUAAAACUUGCACCCAAGAAUUGUGUAGUUGAUUAAUAUUAUUUUGCUUAUUGUUAGCCAUAUUGAUAGCAAUAUAACUUGUGUUAUAUCUUUACAAGUUAUGAUGGAUUUUGGUGCCUAAUUAAUUAUUAUUAAUAAGUGACUUGUCUAAGAAUGAAGUCUUAAUGCUACUAAUCUAAAGUCUUGUCUUUUUACCGUUGUUACUUUUAUAGGAGAUACAAAAUAAUCUAUUGGGUAUAUAAAUCAUCUAUUAUAAAAUAAUUUUUUAUACUAAACUUUGAACCACUUUAUUUACACUUGUUUCUAAAGUGUAUAGUAAUUAGUGUUACCAACUAUGAUAUUUUAAUUAGUCAAUAUGUACUUCAUGCUUUUGGUUUUGAUUUAGAUAAGUGGACCAAAGCAAAAUAAAUUAGAUUGGAGUAGUCUAUUUGUAAUAGAAAGAAGGAAUUUAUUCCUAUUACAUUUGUAGCAAUUAUUAUGAUUAUGUUGACAAAAAUCCUAUUUGAUUUUAGUACAUUGGCAUCAAAUUUGUCUAGUCAACAAGUUUUAUUAAUAGAUACAUUAGCAUUUAUGUCCAAUGUUAUAGAAUCACAUAAUUUAUUUUCUUUAGAAAUUUAUAUAAGACAUUACAAAGAUCCAUCUAUCUAAUAUAAAACAUAUUAUAUAAUAUAAAGAAGUAAAUAUAUAAUUAUGUGGAUAUAUUAUUACGCUUACAAAGUAAACAAAUUAAAUAAUAUAUUAUAAAUAAUCUUUUUUGAAGCUUUAUAAAUAAAAAAUUUAACUUUAUAAAUAUUUAUAGAUAAUUAAUAGGUUAAAAAUUAGACUAAUAAGUUAGCCAUACAACAUAUAUUUGAGAAAUUUGUCGUGCAAGUUUUUUAAGUAUAUUAUGUAAAUUAAGCAUGUCUUAGAUGACUUAUAAAACAUUAUCAUUUAGGUCUUUAGAUAGAUAGAUAGGUCUUUAUAUAUAUAUAUAUAUAUAAGAGUAAGGCCCUCUUUACUCUUAUCAACACAUUUUUUGUAUUUUUGGCUUAGUUUAAAAAUAUCUAGUGUCUUUGUAUUUAGCAAUAGUCAUUCUAGUCUCUAUCUUAUAUCUAACUUUGAUUGAUUUAUUUAUUUUUUUGAGUCUCAUAAGAAUGUAUUGCUUUUUUAGAUUUUUGUUAUGAUUCAUGUUAUGAUUCAUGUCAUUUAUACAAUUUCAUUAAAAAAAUCAGCCAAAUUUUAGUCAAAAAUAUCUUUUUAGUACUUUUAUGAUAAUUCUUUUAUUAUAUAUAUAUAUAUAUAUAUAUAUAUAUAUACAUAGAAAUAUUAAUAAUUAUUUUUUAUUAUAGUUUUUUAAAAAUAUAUAUAUAUAUAUAUAUAUAUAUAUAUACACAUAGAAAUAUUAAUAAUUAUUUUUUAUUAUAGUUUUUUAAAAAUAUAUAUAUAUAUAUAUAUAUAUAUAUACACAUAGAAAUAUUAAUAAUUAUUUUUUAUUAUAGUUUUUUAAAAAUAUAUAUAUAUAUAUAUAUAUAUAUAUAUAUAUGUCAAAUAGUGGCUUGUUAUAGUGAUAGUAGUAAAAACUAUGGUGGCAUGAGCAACAACCUAUUCUAAUUGCCUUUACCAUAUCUAAAAGUAACAAUAAAAUUUAAAAAUAUAUAUAUAUAUAUAUAUAAAACUAUUAUAGAUAUAAAUAUAAAUACUAUGUAAUUUACUUGAAACACUUGUGUCUUCUAUGUCUUGUCAUAUAAUUUCAAAUCCUUUGGUUAUUUACAACUUCUAAAUGUCCAUUAAACCACAUUAUUCUAUCCUUAUUAAUAAUGGCUAAGUUUCUUUGAUUUUGUAAAAUAUAUAUCUAACUUGCAUUGUGACAUUUUUAGUUUCUUUGUUUGUCAUCCAUGCAUAUUGGUUAGAUGCCUCAAAAUUUAUAAGCUUUUUAUUGAUAGACAACAAAUUGGUGAUAAUGCCUAAAAUAUUUUAAAGAGAAGUACAAAAUGAAAAUUUUGAGAUUUAAUACUACACACAAAAUAAUUUCUAAGCAAUUGAAGAGAGUUAAAUAAUUAGAAUUUAUUAAAAUAUUUUGGUACAAGGGACCAUUUGGAAUUUCUAUUCAUCCGGUACCAAGUACAAACUAGAUACUAAUUUUCCUACAGCCAAGUUUCUUGCCAUGUAUACACAAACUCUCAUCCUAAAAUCUAAAAUAAUAGAUGUUGCUUAUUACUUAAUGGCAUCCUUCUCUUGAUUUUUUUAGUGCACAAAAUCAACAUCAUCUUAGUCAUCAUUUUCAUCUUCAUAUCUUUUUGUUAGGCCACUACCAUCAGUGGAUCUGGACUGUUAUAGUCCUCCAAUUUAUAAAGGCAAGGUCUAAAAUGCAUCAUGUGAAGGGGUGGAGCCUCCUUUAUGCAAAUUUUGGGCUCUAUGUUUUGGACUUUGAAUUUUGUAUUUUUGCAUUUAUUUCUUUAGUGUUUGGUUUAACUCUAAGCUCUUAGUUACAAUCCAAUUGAUAUUUGAAUUAGUUAACAGCAACUAGGGUGAAAGCUGCAUCCCUUUAUCUAGCUUCCUUGACUCCUAACAAUUUCAGAAAAACAAAAUGGGCAGUAAAAAAGGUGGAGUCCAAAACUACCUGGGUGUUCAGUAAUGGUAUCUGUUGCAAAACCAAAUUUAAUUAAGGUAAUGGCUUUAAGUACUGCAUCAAACCAGUCACAUGAGAUCUUUUUUCAUGAGAUUGUUACCAAAUUUGUUUCAUAAUAUCAACAGCACGGAGUGACCAAUGCAACUCAUGCACAAUGGACACUUGUAACUUUUAAGUUCAUAGUUAGAACUCUCUGCCAGGCAUGACAAUGCAAAGACCAAACUCAUUUAUCAAUAUUGUAAGUGCAGCUCAUCAAUUUGUAUUGAAAUUAAUAACUUGUGAUGGUCAACUUUUUUGAAUGUCUCAGUAAUUCAGUGCAUCUACCAAAUAGUGAAAUGCUGUUUCUUUGAUUUGUUUUGUAUGUUUUGUAUGCUUUUUAUUUUUUAUUUUUAGGGCAGGUGAAAAGUUACUUCAAAAGUAAAUAAAUAAAUAAAUAAAUCAUAAACAAGUCAACAAACUAAGAUAUAUCUUUUUUUAUUUAUGCAAAACACUUAUAUGUUUCUUGAUUUUGGAAGCUUAUAUAAACAAAACUAUUGAUAGAUUUAUUUCCAAUGUAAAACUUGUAUUAAGAAGAAAAUUAUGCUGGCAAAGAUCAAGAGUAGUGGAUCAUGACUUAAUAAAAAGAAGAAUCAAAAUCUGUAAGAUGCUAAUUGUCUCAUACUUAAAUAAAAAUAGAUAAAAUUGUGGAAUUUAAAAGCAUGAAGAUCUUCCACAAUAUACGUUUCUUUGAUUCGGAUGUAUUUUUAGAAUAAUCAGCUGCCUAAAAAAUAUUUAGCAAUAAACUCCAUGUAUAAAAUAUGAGAUGUUAUUAGGCCAAGGCUACAAUACAUCAUGUCAAGGAGUAAAGUGCACUUGUAGACAAUUUUGAGCUAUAACUCUUUUCUUGUCUAAUUUGUAUUUUAAAAUGUUUUUAGGAAAAACAAGAUGAAGGGGUGGAGCUUUAAUUCUAGUCACCUGUGAAUGGUGUGAAUAUCAAUUGUUUUGAAUCUAAAUGCGUAGAGAAAAACCAAAUAGUCAAUAAGGCAGGAAGAAAAAACCAAAGAAGACCUUGAAUGAGGUAAAAUUCAAAGCCCAAAAUUGGGUAAGCUAAAACUCAAUCCAUUAAAUUAAUGCAUUAAAAUCCUAAUUAUAUAUAUAUAUAUAUAUAUAUAUAACAAAUAAGAUGAUCUUUAAUGUACAUGAAUGAUGUAGUUAGGAAUAUUUCUCUAACAAAUAAAAAUAAAAGUAAAAUACUCAGUUGCUAUGUUAUGUGAUAAAUUUAUGCACAAAGUGCUUAUGCUUGAAGUAUUAUGUGAUGAAUACUUUUGUAUUUUUCCAAUCCAUUCUAUUCUUUAAGCUAAAAUUUUUUCCCUGAAAUUAUUCUACGCUUGUUUUGGCUCUUAGUUUAUAUGCCCUUAAAUUUUGUUAAUGUUUUUUUUGUUGCACUUACCAUGAAGUCUACAUUAUUUUAAAAACUUUCGACUGAUAAUUAGUAAUAAACUCUACAUCAUAAGAAUAUCAUUUAUACCAGAAGUAGAGGAUGUUAACAUUAAUCACAUUUUAGUGAAGUAUAUAUAAUGGUCAUGCAACAAAUGAAUGAAUCCCUCUGCACACAUAUAACUUUUGUACACAAUAAUCUCAACCUGUAUUAUCUACAUAUCAACAUCAAUAAAAAAAUCACAUAUGUAUUUAUAUAUCGACACAUCAAAUAUAAACCAUGCAUAUUUUUGAAAGUACUUUAAAAAAUAGGUUUUUUCUUCAUGAUAAAUUAUACUCAAAUUCGAUUUUUGUUUCAAUGGAUCUAAAUUUAAUGAUCUUAAAUCAGUUCAAAAGUCAUGCUUAUAUAUGAGAAUUAUAAUUAUAUUGGUUAUAAAUAUUCUAUUAAUUUUAAAAAAACUAAAAUAUAUAUUUUGAAUUAUUGAUAUUAUAAUAGAAAUACAUAAUAAAAAAUAGCAACAAUUUUUAUAGAUUGCCGUCCUUGCAUAUGUUUCUUGUAUGUAUAAGAAAUUUCUAAUAAAUUACUUAUUUAUAUUAUAAUAUUAUACUAUUUAAUUACCAACCACCUUUUGAAUUAAGACAAUAUAGAAUUUUUGUUUUGUACAAGGGCCUUCUAGAUACCACAUUUCAUAAGUAUAAAAAACAUUAUAAUUUUACAUAUAUUUGAAGGAGAUUUUUUAUCUUCUCUACUUCCAUGGAUUAUUAUUUGAGGUUGUUUAUUUAUUUAUUAUCUUAAUCAUUAUGGAUUUAAUAUAUCUAAUGUUGUGGCCUCAUAUUUGGCAACUUGUAUGCUUGAUAUUUGGCAACUUGUGUGCUUGAGGGAUGGAUAGACUUUUGUGUUUUAGUUAUUGAUGUAUAAUAUAGAUAAAAAAAUAAAUUGAUUUUUUACCAAUAUUUUAAGAGUAGCUACAUAGUAGAAGAUUUAUUAUGAGAUCUCUUAGGAUUAAUAUCUAAAUCAUGCAUUGAAAAGUAUAGAAAUAUAAAGUUAGUAUUCAUACAAAUGAGAAAUUUGGACAUGUUCAAAAAAAUUAAAUAUAUUUUUCAAUUUUUUUUUCAUGUAGUCUAAAGAUAAUGAGAUUUUUUCGAAGAAGAUCCCAAGUAAAAAUCUUAAAUCUUCAAAAUGGUAUGAUGAGAAAAAAUCAAUAGUAACCACUAGCAUCACAUUUAUUUUUAACCUUAUACCUAUUAAUUAAAAUAAAAAACUUCUUUAGUCAUGCAAAGCAUAUUUUUAAUUAACUCUUUAAAUUUUAAAAGUAAAAGUAUUAUUUUUUACAAAAGUUAUAUCUUCUUUCUAAAGCCAUUUAUAUAAAUGAUGAUUUUUGGUUAAUAUUCAUCCGUAUGUUGAAUUUUUAGAUUUUUUUUAUAAAAAUUAUUAUUGAAGAUAUCAAAUUAUAAAAAAUUAAUAUUUUAAGCAAAUUUACAUUAUAAAAUAAAGUAAGACUAUCUUAGAUAUGGAUAAGAUCUUAAGAAAUAUAUAAAACCAAUAUAUUUUGGUAUCAAUUUCUUCAAAUAAGAUGAUAUUUGACAUCUUCUACGUAUGUAAUGAAUAAUUCAUUCCUUCAUCAUUCUUUUACUAAGGUGCCUAAAAUAUGAAUGGUACUUCAAGACCCAUUUCACCAUUAUAAAAUAUAACUAUUUUUUUAGAAUGAGAUGUAAAAAAAAUAAAAUAAAGAUAUUUUAAUGUUUGUCAAAAUCUUUAUUUUCUAUUUUUAAAUUUCAUAUUCAUAUACAUAUAUAAAUAUAUAUAAAAAUAAUAUAUUUGCAUCUUUUAUUUUUAUUUUUAGCCAAUAUUUUUUAACUUCUAUCUUCCAUCUAAUCCCUUCAAAAAACAAACUAUGUUUAUAAAUUUCUUCAAAGGCUGUUAGUUAUUAGAAAAGUGCUUGACAAGGUAUUCAAUCCUUCAAAGGCUUUUGAUUAUCAAUAUUUUUAUUUAAAGAUAUACACUUUUCUUCCAACAACAAUUUAUAUUGAAAUUAUUCAACUUUCUUUAUAGUAUAACAUUUUAAAUAAGCUUGGCCCCUAUCAUAGACAUACAUAUUUACCUAGAUAAGAAGAGCUAGGUAGAAGGUAAAUGUAGAAAGAUUUGAUAUUAUCUUGUGGCAUAACUUCUUAAAAGCUUCAUAGAUGCAUAUUUGACUUUAUACAUAUUUAUAGUUGAUUGAUCGAUUAGAAUCUUAGCCAACAAAUUAGUCAUAUAUCACACGUGUGGAUAACUUGUGGUAUAAGUUAAUAAUAUGGCAUGCAUAUAGGAAACUUGUCUUGCAAGUUAAGAUACAUGUCUUGCAAAUUGGAUAUGUAUUAGAGAUCUUAUGUGACAUUGCCAUAUAGCUUUUAAUAAAUAAUAUAUAUAGAAGCAAGAGUAAAGUCUUUUUCAUUCUUAUCAACGCCUUUCUAGUUCUUAGUCUUUUUCAAUCUAGUAUAUAUAAGUGCAGAGGACUUUAGAUAUGAUGUAAGAAUUGUGUGCUCUUUCAUGUAUACACUUAUGUUCUUUGUUCAAGAUUGCUGAGAUUGCAAACUCAUGAUAACAAACUUAUACAAUACACAAGUGUCUUUAUUCCAUGCAUUUCUUUUAAACUACAAACUAAUAUUGAAAGGAUUGCAUGCAACUUGAUAAUCAUGACUUCUCUCCACAUGCUCAUCUCUUUGUCAAGUGCACAUUUUUGUCAAAUAUGAUGUAUAUAAUAUGCUAAUAAUCAACAACCUUGGAAGAAACUCACAUACAUAGUCUAUUGUUUGGAAGAAUUGGAACAUGUAGUGGAGGGAGGGAAGUUGGGAUAGGAGAUACAUGCUGAGGAUGGGAAUGGGGAUUAGUACAAGGGACUAAGACCUACUACUUGUUACAAUGGUGGGGUUGAAAUAACAGCAAGUGGGAUUGAUUUAACAUUUCCCUAUUUAUACACACAUCACAUUAUUUAUUUAUUUUGUACUUUGCAAGACAUUUUGUUUUGAUAUGUUUUGAUUUUUUUUUUUAAAUAUAAUUUUUGAGAUCUUCAAAAGCUACACGAAGGAGAGAUAAAAUGACAGGAAUAGGUCCUUACAUCAUCCAUGUGAAAAAAAAAAUUACUCUUCUCUCAUACGAGGUUUAAAAUGCAAGUAGGGUGAGAGGUAUCCUCGUGACACCUACCGAGUAGACUAGCGGUGUGAACACAGUUCAAACCCUUCCGUAAGUACGCGGGCCCUACGUCACUGUCAUAGAGCCCCUCCGUUUGCUCUCCCCCCCCCUUUCUGCGUCUUCUCGUAAUCCGGCCGUAUUUGAAUUUAGCUUCGGCAGCAGGGGCGGGCUCAUGCUACUCUUAACGGUCUACUGGGAUCCCUGCCAAACCAGUUAAACCAGACGAAAAUUACUAAGGUCGUCCACCUUCGUCGGACGAAGUUUGGGCCCCGCGCUAGUCGUCGCUUGGCGCCAAAUCCAGACUUCCGCCAACUUCGGCCGCUCUCGACAUUCUUCCGCUUGAAUUAUGGAUUGGGGCGUGAAUGAUUCCAAUGCGGAUCUGUUUGUCUGGUGUCUGAUUGUGUGCGGAUUUUCGAGCGAGAGACCAAAUUCUGCGUCAUUGUGUGUUGGAAUGGAAGUUUUCCGGUGACUUGCAGUGAAGUACUUGUGGUUUUCAGUAUGUGGAUGGUAUUUGGUGUAAUAAUUGGCCGUGGGGCGACUUUUUGAACUUUCUCUCGCAGUUGAGAGAGGGACUCAUUUCGAAGACGAUACGUGCUUGCCGUGGCUUGCGAUGUGUGAGUUGUGAAGGUGCGGGGUGUAAAGGUGGCAGUCGCGGCAGAGGCUUGGAGCUCAGGAAAGAUUAAUGCGUAGAUUCGCCUAGUUAUAUUACGAUGCCGAGCUCCCGAUAUCCGUCGCGUGUGCGGAAUGAAGGUGGUGCAGUGCAGCCUGUGGAGAAGCGGGGGCGAAAACAGGUUGUGAAGUUAGAGGAGAGCGGGAGUGACGUGGAAGAGGAUAUGAAACCUGAUGUUGCUCUGGAUGAUGUAGAGGUCAUCAAACAUUCGGGGACGGUGCGACGCCCUUCUCUGCGGAGCUCCACGCGCAUUGCCACUCUUGCUUCUCGUCAGUCUUUGAAGCAAGAAGUUUCAGAGUCGCCCAGUCCGCAGCGUGUUCGGAAGCGAGUGAAAAUUGCUGCAAAGGUGAGCGUGAAAGAAAAAAAGGUGAAAGUUAACGAAAAAUCGUCGAAGCAGGCGAAGGGGGAUGUCGUAGCUGAUAAAUUGAAAGUUGUAACUACAAUCGUGAAGGUUGAUAGUGAGGGGGAAGAUAAGAAUGGGCGUACCGAUGAUCCUGUCGAGGUCGUGGAGAAGGUCAACAUACCAGGAACGGAUAAAUUAGCACAACUACUCGCGGAAAGAACUAGUUUAAGCGAUGCUUUGCAAGUCAAAGCAACGAUUCGAAUUUUCAAUUUCAUGUAUCUGGAAGCCAUUCAGGUGUGUGCAAUUCCAUCGAUGGCUUUUUCCGUGCGUUGAGUUGCUACAAUAUCACAAAUUAGUUAGGAUGCGGCGUGCAUCGUGAUAUUCAUCAAGUCCCAGGAAAGUCUUGUCCUGAUUUAUGGAUUGCUCUGACCCUGGCAACUUUCGCAGGAGGAAGACAAGCGCGCUUCAGAGCUGCUAAUGAAGAUAGGAGAGUCUGGCACAGGCAAAAGACCCUCCAAACGUCCUGACCUGAAAGCUGUUUCCAAGGUAACACAGCAGGGAUGGGGAUUUCGUUACGAAAUACACCUGGUUCUUUGAGAGUUAAGGGUAUCUUAAGUACAAUUUUUAAGAGUGAUCAAGGAGAUCUGACGUUGUUUCGAGUUUCAGAUACUUUGAUAUACAACCUAGUGGUGAUGAUCCUUCACCUUGGAUCUGAAUGCUCUGUUAUUCUAGCUAUAUUAUUAAUCAUAACCCAAGAACUUCGUAGGAAGCAGUGCCGGGGGUUUCAAUUGGCAAAUCAGAUGAUCUGAAAGGAGGAGGAGAUAGCUGAGCUUGGGUCUUUGAUGCACAGAUGAUCGAACUUAAGGCAACUCUUAAUUCCGAGAAACAAGUUGGUGCUAUUCCAGGUCAAACUCUCUUUCUGAGCUCAACUUUCGUUGCUUAGGAGGUUCCAAAUUCAUGCAAUUCUUUGAAUGAAUAGUUCUUUCAUCCAAGUUCUUGCCUUGCACAAUAUCUUACUCGUGCUGUGUUAUGUAUAUCUCCAGGUGUUAGUGUGGGUCAGCAGUUCCUUUCAAGAGCAGAGAUGGUUAUAAUAGGUCUGCAUUCUCAUUGGCUCAAUGGAAUCGACUACAUUGGAGUUGCCAAAGGCAGAGUAAGGCUUUAUACAGUUAGCACUUCCGAUUUUCCGCUUCUUAUAAUACGUUCAUUGAGAACUGUUCCUUUUUAAAUGAACACUUGGUUGUCAGUUUAGGCAAACAAAUGUGCUUCGUAUUUACUGACUUGCAACGAUCUCAAAGAUGUACAUUUGCACCGAUUAUUAUUUUCACCUAUGAAAUUCUUGAUAGUGAAGCAAGCGGCGUCUUCGAGUUAAAAAGUAGAUUUAAGUAUGGGGCGUGGAUGUUCGUCUGCAAUCUGUGUAUGGUUGUGACUUUGGUUGUAGUGCUUUGGCUUCAUCACUCUGUGGGCGUAGCUUGGAACAAGGCGAUAUGUCAUAAAAUUUUGCUGGCUUCGUGUUUCUUGUUUAUACUGUGCUUAUGUUAACGUAUGUGUUUUCUGUCCUAGUUCUUUUUGUGCCGAGCAAGGUUCAGAGUUGGAAUCUAGGGUCGGAUUGGAGCUUCUCUGAUUUAAUUUUGUUGUUGUGAUGGCAUUAGAUGCCCGAUGUAGAGCUUCCAAUUGCUGUUUCAAUUGUUAUGUCGGGAGGCUAUGAAGAUGAUGUUGACAAUUCAGAGGACAUGGUUUACACUGGGCAAGGAGGAAACGAUCUUUUAAGCACUCGUCGCCAAAUCAAAGACCAAAAGAUGGAGAAAGGCAAUUUAGCUUUGAAGGUACGUGGUUCCUAGGCACAAAGGCACUUGCUCCUCCUGCCAAUGGAUGGUUGCAAUGUGAGGAUGUCCUUGGUUAUAUCUAACUUUCUGCCAACAUAUCUCUGCUACUCUUUCGAAUAAAUUGAAGUUUAGUGCCUCGUCUUUUCUACUGAUAAUUGAUUCCCCAAAAUGUGGUUGUACAGAAUAGCAUGAAGUGCCGACUACCUGUCCGUGUCAUUCGUGGUCAUGCCGACAAAAUGAGUUACACUGGCAAGGUUUACACCUAUGAUGGACUGUACGAGGUAAGUCUUCUGCUUUUGAACGUUGGAAUCAAGAUGUUUGAACCACUUUGAUCUUUACACUGACUUGGGAUUAUCUUGCUAUAUUAAAACACGUUUAUUUGGAAUUUGGAAACUGUACCGUGGACCAUCUUAGAAUGCAUUGUGAUUUACGUCUUCAUCGUAAGGGCACACUCCUAACACUUGCCAGACCUUCAAUGAUGCGCGAUCAUACUCCCACUUUUUUGGUGGCACUGAAUCUAUUGGUCUCCAACCCGGAGUGCCGUUUUCAGAGUGGCUCAAUUUUGUUGACGCGUCUCCUAUUUUUGGAAAUUUAACGGUUUUGUGAAGCGUUGCUGAGAAUUUUAGAUCCGGAAUGCAGGUUUACGGUCACUGGGCUGAAAAGGGGAUUUCUGGGUUUACAGUGUUUAAGUACAAGCUUCGGCGUUUGCCUGGGCAGCCAGUGCUCACUAGCAAACAGGUGCAUAUUUGCUUCCUACGAGUGGAAUUCAUUAAUUCUGUGGUCUUUGGUGUGAGCUUUAAUAGUUAGUAUAUGCAGUUGUUGGCGUUGUUUAUCUCCUCCUUUUCAUUGUGAACCGGAAAUUCUCAGUAGUUGCCCGAACAACAUUGCCCCUUGCAGUAUUAUCACUAUUUCAAGACUCUUAAUCUGUUGCCGGUUAGAUUACCCCUGGGUUGUAAUAGCCUGGUUUUGUUCUUAUGGUUGCAGGUUCAUUUUGCUAGAGGGAAAGCACCAGACAACGUUUCAGAACUGCGAGGGUGCUACUCUCUCACUCUCCUCCUUUUCAGACGUUCUGUACUUCAAUUCUAUAGCUGACUCUAGAAAUUAUGCAGGUGUAACACUAAUUCCUUCAUCCUUAAUUGAUAGUUCAUGAAUCUAAAACCUUGUACUUGUGCAGAUUGGUGUGUAAAGACAUCUCGAAUGGGCAGGAGCGCAUACCAGUGCCCGCUUCUAACACAGUCGAUGAUCCUCCAGUUCCUCCUACAGGUUUGUGCGUUCCCGUUUCUUUUGGCUACAUGCGGAACCUUGGUUGUGGGGUUUCUAUGUUUUCGUGGAAUUUCGAUCACAAACUCGUUUCAGUACGCUGACUCUUAAUGAUAACGGAGUAUCAAAACUGCAAUCCUCUUUUCCCAGGACCUUUGUUCAAGCCCUCCGAUUUGGGGUACAUCCUGCUAACAGUUCUCUGUAGACCCUAGUUGUUAGCAAGUGCACCUGACAUGGUUGAAUUUACCAGAUUACACGUACAUCACGAAGACCGUAGUACCAGACGACAUUGCAAGACCUCCCCCUUCUAAAGGCUGCAGUUGCAGGGGCGCCUGUACAGAAGAGAAGGACUGUGCUUGUGCUCGCAAGAAUGGAAUGUCCUUCCCUUAUGUUUUCAAUCAUGGCGGAAGGUAUGCCGUUUGAUUUACACUUCCUGUAUUAUGUUCAAAUAUCAUGAUAAGGCUUCCACUAUCCAGCCCCGCAUACAAACAGAAGUUUUUGUUCGUAUGUUGCAUAGUCUUGGUCAUGUCUUCGCGAUCAAGGCAGUCUGUAUCAAGACUUUCACCAGUUUUUUGGUGCCCCAGUAAUAACCAAGAAUGGAAGUUAGGUAACUACUAGGUUAAUCAGGAUGUCAAAAAUUCCGCCUUCUGUUUUACACAAGGAUUAGAUGUCAAAAAAAUUCGGGAUCCAUUUAGGUGUCCAGCAGAAUGAAUGUACAGGAUAUGUAAACAUCUUAGUCAAAUUUAUGAACUUGUAUUUGCACAUGUACACUGCAAGUUUCAUCUGACAUCGUGGAUGCUUGGGAUUUACAGGCUGGUGAAACCCAUGGAUGUUGUUUUUGAGUGUGGCCCUGGGUGUGGUUGUGGCCCUGAAUGCUUGAAUCGAACAUCUCAAGUGGGGCUUCAAUAUAGGCUUGAGGUGUGGAUACUUUCAGUGCUGUCGUAAUGCAAACACUUACCAUGUUUCGUAUCGAAGAUGGUUUUUCCUUUUUAGUAUCAGGCCUACUCUGUACACAGAAAAUAGUGGUAUCGUAAGCUUUUACAUGGUCUGAAUUUAGGCAGCCUGCUAAGUAGAGCUUUCAAUGGGCUUGAGUUGUGCAGGUGUACAAAACUGUUUCAAAGGGGUGGGCUUGCCGAUCAUGGGAUUUUAUUCCAGCGGGAGCACCAAUCUGCGAGUACUUCGGUACUUUGAGACGGAAUGAUGAGAACUUGGAAAGUAUGCUGGAUAACAGUUAUAUUUUUGAGCUCGAUCUACUUCAAACUAUGCAAGGCAUGGAAGGGCGCCAGGUAUUUAAUCAAUAUUUCCUAGAUACUUGCCAGACGAUGUGCAUUUGGAUACCAAAAUUGUACCUAUAUUGUGUGUGUAAAAUUUGCACAGCUUGAGAUUGGUCCUUCCAAUCCAGAAUGCGGAUAUGAUUAAGCUCUUGUGAGGAGAAAUAAAAAUGAAAAGAAAGAGAGAGAAUGAGUCUGUACAUGAUGCGAAUGGAUACCAUUAUGAAUUAAUACGCCCGCCAUUCACCUUGAGACCGUAUAAUAGUUCCAAGUACCUUAAAUUCCUUUCACUCGCAUUGCAGAAAAGGUUUGGCGAUGUAAUGCCGGAGCUUAGUGAUGAAGACGACUUGAUGAUGCAAGAUGCUCCCGCUUAUGUUCUUGAUGCUGGAAAGAAUGGAAGUGUUUCAAGAUUUCUUAAUCACAGCUGUGAACCUAAUGUGUUCAUCCAAUGUGUGUUGAGCCAUCACAACGAUGUCACGAUGCCCCGAAUUGUAAUGUUUGCGGCAGAUAACAUUCAUCCAUUAGAGGUGCGUUACGUUUUCUCAAGAAAAAUAAUCUCUGCUUCUCUUCACGUUAUAUGCCCUGUACCCAGACUUACAAUCUCUACGAUAUUGCGUUCUUUGUUACGCUCGUUUGACAGCUUAUUGAUUGCGUUCCAUGGAAUCCUCAGGAGUUGUGCUAUGACUAUGGUUACGCGAUGGACAGCGUGGUGCGGGACGGGACAGUAGUGGAGAUGGCUUGUCACUGCGGAGCCGCAUCAUGUCGUAAGCGCAUGUAUUAGAUAUAAUCCACAGAUCGCAGUUGAUUCUUUAAGGUUGAUCUUUCUUUCGACCUCUGUACAUUAGGCCCAACUGUUUAUUUCCGUGCACUGCUUGAUAUUGAUGUGACUUACAUUUCUGAGCAUCUUUCUGAGUGAAUUACUCAUUGGCGCAAGCAGUGUGCAACAUUUAGGCAGGCUUCUACCACUUCUUGUGGCGAGUGUUCUAUAGGACAUCAAUUCAAUUGAAGAAUUGUCUUGGCGAGGCCUAUGAGUUGAAGUUCUUCCCGUAAAUGUCGGCGGUCUUUUCUGAAGACUUCGAACUUUGCCUUUCAGUUUGUUUUAUUUUUUUUCUUGCGAUGUCCAAAUGUAAAAUUUGAGGUCAAUUAUUCAUCCCUUACUUAUUUUGGUAUUUCUGGCUCAGCCUUGUAAACCAAUUGAUGAUAAUCCAUUCGGAUCGUGCUGUAAUGUCGAGACUGUAGCCCGACAAGCCUGAAGAACUAAUGGUAUUUUUCCCGUUCGGUUCUCUUCAAGAAAUGAAGCGCUGUAUCCUAGGAUAUUAUGAGUGGUAUAUUGAAUACAUGUGACAAUUAACUUUUAUUUGUAGAUAACCUGAUGUUAUAAUCUGCAAAUGCCUGAUACUAGUAUCUCAUAACAUUUUAGAGCUGCAUCAGUCGUAGUGGAACCACUAAAUUUUUUUAUCUGGUAGGCACAUUACUUUUGAUUAGACAUGAAUCAUUUAUGGGCGUUCAUGAUCCUAAUUAUUGCUAUAAUUAAAGAUUAAUUGUCACUCUCAAAUCUAGCAUUGUGGAUCUUGUGAAUUCGGACUACCCAUAUAUAGAACAUGUGUGCUUCCCUUCUUGUAAAAAAUAUUGGUUUUUUUAUUUUUUAUUAGUAAGAUUAUUUUUACAAUAUUGACUUCACCAUGAUAUCUAAAAAUAUCCAAUUAGCUUUGGAUCUUUGUGAGGCUUUUAAAUCUUGUUCCAUUUUUUUUAUAAUAAUUUUAAAGAUGGUAGUAUCAUAAAUAUAUAUAUUUAUUUAAAUAGUAAUUUAAAUAAUUAGAUAGAAGUAGGGUAAUAUAAAUUAAAUCUAUAAUAUCUUUUAUUGAAACUUCCUAAAAGUUUUAUGAUUUUGAUUUACACAUAUUUGUAGUUGAUUAGUAGAUUAGAAACUUUAUCAACAAGUACACUAUGUACUACAUGUAUUGGUAACUUCUAGAAUAAGCUAACUAUGUGGCAUACAUAUAAAUAACUUGAUGUCAUAGACAUACAUAGGUAUUCUAGUAAAUAUCUAUAUAAUUAGGUAGGAAUAGGUAAAAGUAGAUAAAUUUCAUAAGACCUUUUAGAGAAGCUUUCCAAAAGCUUUAUAAAUGUUGUUUGAUUUUGUAUGUAUUUGAAGUUGAUUGAUGGGUUAGAAACUUGGUCAACAAGUUAAUCAUAUAUUGAUAGCUUGCAAAAUAAGCUAACUAUGUGCUGCACAUAUAGAAAACUUGCCUUGCAAAUUAAGAUAUAUGUUUUACAAAGUCAACAUGUUUUGGAGGUCCUAUAGGAUAUCACCACAUAGCUCCUAGUUAAGAGUAUAUAUAGAGGCAAGAAUAAAGCCUUCUUUAUUCUUGUCAAUGCCUUUUUAGUCUUUAGUCUUGUUUCAAGACUUUCGAGUCUUCUUGUUUUUGGCAAUAACCAUUCUAGUUCAGUGUUAUAUCAUCUUUGAGUAAUUUUAUAGUUUCUUUCAAUGAUAUAAGAGUGUAUUGAAGAUUAUCUUUUUUCAAGUUUUAUAUCCUUGAUACUUUGACAAGACUACUAAUAUGUUAUUUUUAUCUUAUUUUAAAAAAGAGUGGAUUAUUCUACUUCUAUUGUUGUGUUUUGAAGGUUGUAGAUUAUCUAUCUUUAAACAAAAAAUCUUGUUUUCUGACACUGAUUUUUUUCUAAAAGAGAGUGGAUUAUCCCUCUUUGUUGAUUUUUUUUUUUUAUUAGAGGUUGUAGAUUAUUCUCUUUUAAUUUAACUUUUUGAAUUUGUUUGAGUCAUCUAUGGAAGAAAAAAUUAUACAAGCUACUUUCAACAAAAGUAAGAAUAGAUUUGCAACUAUUGCAAAUAUUCAUGAGCUUGUCAAUACUAUAAGAAUAGAAAUCUCACAUAUUUUUAAUGUGAAUCAUGGAAGUAUUAUACCUACACAUAUCGAAGAAGUUCAAAAUCUACGACAAGAAGUUGUAUAGUUGAAGGAAAUAAGUAGACCUGUCACGGACACAGAAAUAUAAACUCGAGAUCUAAUAAGAAGUUCAAGAAGAACUGGCAAGAACUAGAUUAAUCAGAUGAGAACAACACCAAAGAGGUGAGCUAGAGCUCCAAGAGAUGUGUUGUCGAGACUGAAGAACUCUUCAACCUCGAUUCCAAUAUAUACUCCUAUUUAGGAAGCUUCUCAAACAACUUCUAUCAACUAGGAAGCUUCUAGAAGGUUCUAGAGACUUGCUUCUAGAAGGUUCUAGAAACUUAUCUCUAGAAGGUUCUAGAAACUUAUCUCUAGAAGGUUCUAGAAACUUAUCUCUAGAAGGUUCUAAGGACUAUGUUCCUAAUAUCUUCUACUAACUAAGAAGCUUCUAGAAGGUUCCAGAGACUUGUUUCUAGAAGGUUCUAGAAACUUGUCUCUAGAAGGUUCUAAGGAUUAUGUCCCUAACAUCACCCCCUCCUUUAGCUUCGAGGUCUCUGAGAAGCAAUGUUGUUGAUCAAUACCAACGCAAGAAAAUGAAGAUCUGUCGCAUAAUGUCUGCAAUGAAUUCCAACUGUUUUUCACGAGGAAAGUGGUUCAUCGGCCCUUGAAGCCAAUGGUAGUAGCCCACUCCUUCAACUUCUGACCAAGCAUGAACUUCCGUGUCCUCAUUAUGAAAUUGUCCUGUAAACACGCCUUCUAGCUGACCAUCGUAAGCAGGCUCGGACUCAAAUACAAUCACCAGUGAUCAGUUACUCGGUAUCCUUCGUCGUCGUUGUGGUGUAGGCGGUUCUUCAUCUCGGGGUCGCCUUCGUGAGCUAGUCGGUUGAGAUAAUCUGAUUGGCAUAGUAUCUAUCUCUUGGCUAUCCAUAUCAGAAGACCAAACUAUGGCUAUUGAAAAAAUUCUAUUUUAUCUUGGAGAAAAUAACUACAUCAAGUACGAAUUUUGGUGGUACUCUCCCCAUUUCUUAUAUUCUUGGGUGAGCAAGCUUCAAAAAGAAGCUAUCGUCGAAAUGGCUUAGGUUUAUGAGGAUGUUGUUGAUGAAACUCUUGUACCUUUUGCGGUGCAUUGGCGAGAUUUACAGCUAGGUCCCACGUUCGCUCAUUAAUGUCGUAGCCGCACCAAUGAACAAGAUACUCCAACUUGUCCCACCUUCGCCGUGAAUCCAGUACCUUUUCAACCUCGUAUUCCUAGUGGUUCUCAAUCUCAAUACUAGGUGGCGGACAUUGUACUCUUGCAGGAAAAGAUGACUCUCGAUAAGGCUCUAACAGAGAAACAUGAAAGACUGGAUGUACCUUUAUAGAAGCCGGUAAUUCCAAACGGUACGCCAUUGGAUUGAUUUCCUUCUGGAUGAUAAAUGGUCCCAAUCUUCGAUAGUCCAACUUAUCACAUAGUCGCUUGGUCUUGAUAUUUUGUCAAAGAAGCCAUGCUUUAUCUCCAAUUUUGAAAGUAGGUGCUUGAUUCUGAAAUCUAUCUACAGAUGCCUUGUAGGAUUCUUCAGCUGAUUAUAAUUGAAGCUUCAACGUAUUUUGAAGCUCUGAUAGUUGUUUCGCAAAUCCUUCAGCUGCUGGAUUGUUAUUUGUUGACGGACUCAAUAAAUCAAGCUUCGGAUGAUAUCCAUAGUUGGAAAAGAAUGGUGUGUAUUGAGUUGACACAUGGAGGGUGUUGUUAUAUACAAACUCGGCUAGCGUCAGAUAUGUGGUCCAAUCGUCUUGCUAAUAGUUGAUACUCCAUCGUAAGUAUUGUUCCAAGACUUGGUUCACCCGUUCCGUUUGGCCGUCAAUUUGAGGAUGAAAAGCCGAAGAAAGCUUGAUAUCCACCUUCAGUAUCUCAAAGAGAGAUCUCCAAAACUUUAAUACGAACUGAGUUCCUCGAUCUGAUAUGAUAUCAUCUGGUAGUCCAUGAUAUUGAUACACAUUAUCGAGAAAAAGCCUUGCUGUGACUUCACUGGACGAUGUCUUCUUGCAAGGAAUAAAGUGUGCCAUCUUUGUAAGCCGAUCUAUCACGACAAAGAUGCUGUCAAAUGAGUUCGAUGAUGGAAGGUCCGUGAUGAAGUCUAUGGAAACUGAAGACCAUGGUCGACAUGGAAUUGGUAAUGGCUGUAGGAGUCCAUAAGGGUGAUGCCGAGGAUUCUUGGAUCUUGAACAGAUGUCGCAGGAGAGGACAAAAUCUUUCACAUCCUUCCACAUUUUGAGCCAUCAAAAAUCUCGAGAAAUAAGCUCCAAGGUCUUGUUGAAUCUAAAAUGUCUCGCAAUUAGAAAAUCAUGGCGAGAUUGAAGAACUCGGAGUCGUGCUGGUCUUUUUGGAAUAUACAACCACUCUUCAAAGUAUAAAAGAUCUUCCUCCACCUUGAAUUUAUCGUCAUUGGCACGCUGCUUGAUAUCAAUGGCUACUGAAUCUUUAAUGGUCACGGCACGUACAUGAUUCAAGAAGUCAGCAUCAAUUGACACAAUAGUAGCGCAAAGCCAAAAUUGCUCUGGCUUCAAUUACGUCGUACAUUGUUGAUCAAACGUUGCUUCUGCAGCCUUUGGUACAAGAUACAAUCUCCUCGAUAAGGCAGUAGAUAGUCCUUGCUGCUUUCGAGGUUGAUAAGUGAUAACAAAAUCCAACCUAGAUAGCAACAUACUCCACCGAGCUUGACGUCGAUUUAGAACUCGAGCCGACAUGAAAUACUCCAAAUUCUUGUGAUCUGUGUAUAUGGUCACUGGGUGUGCAGCUCCUUCAAGAAAAUGAUGCCAUUCUUGGAAAGAAUCCAUUAUAGCAAGAAGUUCCUUAUCGUGGAUCUCAUAAUUGAUUUCAGCAGCAAAGAACUUUCGAGAAUAGAAUGCAACCGGAUAGAGCUUCUUGUCUUCUCCCAUUUCUGAAAGUACAGCUCCCAAAGCAAAAUCCGAAGCAUUAGUUUCUAAAUAAAAGACCUUUGUAAAGUCUGGAUGUACCAAGAUUAGAGCCAUAGUAAAUGUAAUUUUUAGGUCUUGAAAUGCCUUUUCCACUAGAGGUCCCCAUUCCAGCUUAUCCUUGCAUGUCAAUCGAGUGACUGGAGCAGCAACUUGAGAGUAAUUCUUGAUGAAGAUCCGAUAGAAGUUGGCAAAGCCAAGAAAGCAUUGUACGUCUCUCACCGUCUUUGGAACCUCCCAGGACAUGAUUGCUUCCACCUUCUUGGGGUCCAUCUUCAAGCCUUCCGUAGUCGCAACGAACCCCAAAAACUCCAUCUCUAUUUGGUGAAAUAAACACUUCUUCAAUUUGGCAUAUAGUCCUCGCUCGUGUAGUUUCUCCAAGAUCAAACAAACGUGCUUUUCAUGCUCUUCCUCAUUUUUGGAGAAUAUCAAAAUAUCAUCCAAAUAGAUGACAACAAAAUCGUCAAGGUACUCUCGGAAAAUAUCAUUCAUCAUAUGUUGAAAGGCCGUUAGAGCAUUGAUAAGACCAAAGGGCAUGACAUUAUACUCAAAAUGGCCAUACCUUGUACGGAAUGCUGUCUUCCACUCAUUUCCUUCCUUGAUUCAUACGAGGUUGUAAGCUCCCCUUAGAUCAAUUUUUGUAAAAAUCCUUGCACGUCUAAGUUAUUCUAAGACACCAGAAAUCAAGGGUAACAGGUAAUGAUUCUUCUUUGUUAUCUUGUUGAGGCCUCGAUAGUCUACGCACAUCCGCAAUGACCCAUCUUUCUUCUUCACAAAUAAGAUGGGUGCUUCAGCUGACGAUUUUGAAUGACGGAUGAAGUUCUUGGCUAGAUUCUCGUUGAUGUACUUCCGCAAUUCUGCCAACUCCAUCUGCGAUAGAUUGUAGAUUGGGGCAAAAGGCGGUUGUGCUCCUUCCUAUAAGUCUAUGGCGCAAUCAUAUGGUCUGUGUUCCAGUAGCAUGUCAGCAUUUUUUUUUUGAAACACGUCUUUAAAAUCCUUAUAUUGCUUCGAUAUAAUUGUUGUCAAGAUCUUCUUCCCGGUAGUUGGAGCCGCAUAAAUGACAAACAGUGUGCCUUCCUUGGACGAUCUUACAAACGCUCUUGCUUCAAUAAAUAAGGAUUUUUCUAUUCGAGAUUUUCUACUAGGCUUGCUCUUGGGUGCUUUUAUAGGAAAGGUCAUCUUCCGCAACUUCCAAUCUAUGGAUGGGUUAUGCUUUUCCAACCAGGAAAGAUCAAGAAUAAUAGGAUUUGAUGGGAUUCUAAUAAUAUUGAAAAUAAUAUGACUACUAUGGCCCUUAAACGUCACUUCUAUAGGUUCUGAUUCAUGGGUGAUACUACCAGACAAUAAAGGUCGCCCAUCUAUGACCUCAAUGUGAACAGGUUUGAAUUUUUGUACUAAAGGGAUCUUAUGAUACUUCGCAAAUUCUUCGUCUGAGAAACAAGCAGAUGCUCCUGAAUCUAAUAAUGCUAAGGUUCUCAAUUUCUGAGGGCCAAUAAGCAAAUGGAUUGUAAAACAAAGGGCAGGUUGAGCGGAAAGAAAGGAACUUGGUUGUUGUUACGAUAUUUCAUUGUCCAGCCGCAGGGUUCCUAUUGUGGCUGGGCAUCCUCGUUUUUCUGAAUAAAUGUGCCCCUAGUCUUGACAAUACGCCGAUUUUGCUUCUUGGGAUAGUUUCCAACUUUGUAGCCUUCUUCACCGCAAUACAAGCAUAGACCUUCUUCCAUACGCCGCUUUUUUUCUUUUAGAGUAAGGGAUUUGACACGUACCACAUCAAUUUGCAUGUCUUCUACCUCUGAAUGUGAAUUCACGUUGCUUGCUGACAUAGUUGGGGCGUGGCGAAUCAUAUGUUGUCUUGAACGUUGGUCUUGGCGGCUUUGAAAUAGGCGGUUAUCGCACUUCACAGCUUGGCUAAUAGCUUUGUUCAGCGUUUGUGGAUGAGGAAGAGUUAACAGCAAAUUCUUCACAUCGUCCCUUAAACCCCAAUAGAAUUGACUCAUCAACGCUUCUUUGUCCCAAUUGAUGUCGCAUGCUAAUUGCCUGAAGUCCGAUGCAUAGACUGAUGUAGAGCGCAUCCCUUGUCGUAGUGAUCGAAUCUUUGUUGUAGGCCAUCGAACCUUGUCGUGUUCACCAAAUGCUUCCGCAAACGCCUCCAAAAAGGUUUCAAAGUUGUUUAGUAUGGACGAUCGUUUCUCAAACAAAGGAGCAAACCAUGAUAUAGCUUGUCCUGUAAGUAAGGUUCCAACAAGCCCAACACGUGACUCCUCCGUUGGAUAGCGUUCGGGCUAUAAAACUGUUAUCAACCUGAUUUGGUUGACAAAUCCUCGAAACUUGGAAUGCGUACCAUCGAACUUAUUCAGAAGAUUAACUCAAGGCUCCUUAUGUUGUAGAACCAGCGGUGCUUGUCGAACCUGAGGCAAAGUUGCUUCUCCAAGUACAAAAGUUUGAGGCUGGUGCAACUUAGAUUGUGCCAUCCCAGAUGCUCCAUCAUUAUGAAGCCUUGCCACGACUCCUUCAAUCUCUGCAAUUCUUUGCGAUAACGUAGCGAGGGCAUUCAUGAUAGCAUCCAACUUGGACUCCAAACUUUUCGUCAUACUAAUGUCUUGGCCCCCGGCCAUUCUAAGAGAAGGACAGAAAUGACUUUACAAGAAGAUAAUAUUGAUUUAGAGGAGGGUACUCCGCAACCUCUAAAAUGCCUUAAGAGCUUCAAGAAAAGGGGUAAUCUACUCUCUCCAAGAAGAAUAAGACUCCAAUAUUAUAACAAAAGAAAUAUCAGUUUAGAGGAGGGUAAUCCGCAACCUCUAAAAUGCUAGUACACUUCCAAGCAGAGGGGUAAUCCAUACUCUAACAAAGAAGAAACUAGCUUUGAUAUCUGAGGUGAGUGCAGUCUCAACAAACUGUCACGGACACAGAAAUAUCAACUCGAGAUCUAAUAAGAAGUUCAAGAAGAACUGGCAAGAACUAGAUUAAUCAGAUGAGAACAACACCAAAGAGGUGAGCUAGAGCUCCAAGAGAUGUGUUGUCGAGACUGAAGAACUCUUCAACCUCGAUUCCAAUAUAUACUCCUAUUUAGGAAGCUUUUCAAGCAACUUCUAUCAACUAGGAAGCUUCUAGAAGGUUCUAGAAACUUAUCUCUAGAAGGUUCUAAGGACUAUGUCCCUAAUAUCUUCUACCAACUAAGAAGCUUCUAGAAGGUUCCAGAGACUUGCUUCUAGAAGGUUCUAAAAACUUGUCUCUAGAAGGUUCUAAAAACUUGUCUCUAGAAGGUUCUAAAAACUUGUCUCUAGAAGGUUCUAAGGAUUAUGUCCCUAACAAGACCACCUUUAUAACCAAAUCCAAGGAAUUUUUUUUCUACAAGUAUGAUAAGGAUAAGGAUUAGUAUGCUCCAGAAUUUUGAUGGAAGAAUAUCAAAAUUUUAAAGGUUUUUGUAAUAAAUCAAGUUCUAUCUAAGGUUGCAUCCUUUCCAAUAUCUUGAUGGAUUUAUUCAAGUUAGAUUUAUAGGUGUACUUUUAUUAGAAAGUACUCUUUUUUGGUAUAUAUCUUUAAUAGAAAAAGAUUCACAACACUUUUAUGAUUUGAAUUCAUUCUUAAAAGUGUUUACAGCCACAUUCAAAAAAUUGAUAAAAAAAGAACAGCAAAAAAUAAGCUCUUAUCUUUACAGCAAGGAUCACGGUCAGCCAUCAUAUAUGCUCCUGAAUUUCAAAACUUUGCUAGCCACGUGGAUUGAAAUGACAAAGUCCUUAUCAAUCAAUUUUAAUAUGGAUUGAGGAAUAAUGUCAAAGACUUGUUAUUGACAAUGCCAAAGAUAAAAUAUUUGGAAUAAUUUAUUGCUCAAGCCAUUGCGUAUGACAAUUGAUUAUUUGAAAGACGUCAAGAACAAAGAUAUGGCUGGAGAAGAACAAAUCAAAUAAUGAUGGUAGGUUUUAAAUCCUUGACAAAGCAUGAAAAGAAUUGACGACAUUAAGAGGGCUUAUGCUUAUAUUAUAGAGAAAUUAAACAUAUUGCUCAAUACUAUCCAAAGAAACAACGCAAUUAUAAAAUAAAAAGCACAAUUGCCAAAAAAGAUAAUGUAUCAAAAAAUAAGUUGUUUUAAUUACAAUAAGGACCAUGCGGCUGGAAUCAUGGACAACAUCUAGUAAAAGUCUUAUUCUCUCUCAUCUUAUCUUUUUUUUAUAAUAGAAAUCUAUUUAGAAUCAAAAAAUUACAAAGACUUAGUCUUGUUGGAUUUAAGAGCCUUGGCAUGUUUUAUAGAUGAAGACUUUAUCAAGAAAUAAGAUAUAUUCUUAAUUAAGAAAAUCAAACUUGUGCAUUUAGAAAUAAUAGAUGGACCUUCAUUGUCUUCUAAAGAUGUUACAUAUGAAACUAUUCCUGUAAAAGUAGCAACUAGUGAUCAUAAUAGUUUAUUAAUAUUUAAUGUGAUUAAGUUUCCUUCUAAUCUAAUUAUUUUAGGAUUAUCAUGAUUAAAAAGAUAUAAUCCUUAAAUAGACUAGAUUUCUUGCAAUCUUGAUUUUCCUAAUAGUUUAGUUUCAAGGUCCUACUACACAAGAAGAAAUCCAUAAAUUUAGUACAUCCAAACCCUUAUUAGUAGGUACAAGAGCUUUCAUGCAUGCCUCAAAUGAAGGGCCAUCUUUUACUAUAUAUGCCAUAUCCAUUGCUGGUGGUGAGAAGAUAUAAAGUAGUAUUCCUAGCUAGUAUUAAUAUUUUUAGGAAAGUUUUGAAAAAAAGAAGGAAAAUAUUCUUCCAAAGCAUUCUCCUUAUGAUUGUUCUAUUGAUCUUUAAGAAGGAAUUCAACCACCAUUUGGACCAAUCUAUAGCCUAUUAUAAAAUGAAUUGGCUGCAUUCAAAGAGUACAUUAAUGAGAACUUUGCUAAGAACUUUAUACACCAUUUUAAAUCUCUAGUCGAUAUACCUAUUUUAUUUGUGAAGAAAAAAGAUGGAUCUUUACAGAUGUGUGGAUUAUUGAAGACUUAAUAAGAUCGCCAUCUAGAAUAGGUAUUUUUUAUCUUUGAUUUUAGAACUUCUUCAUCAACUAAAUUAAACAAAGUUCUAUACAACAAUAGAUCUAUAAGGAACAUAUAACUUGGUUUGCAUCAAAAAAAGAGAUGAAUGAAAGAUUGUUUUUCAAACUAGAUAUGGACAUUUUGAAUAUAAUGUCAUGUCUUUUGGAAUCAUGAAUGUACUAAUUCCUUUUCAACAUUUAAUGAAUGAUGUCUUUUGUGAGUUUUUUGAUGAUUUUAUCAUCUAUUAUUUAGAUUAUAUUUUAAUCUAUUCUAAGAAUAAAAAAGAGCAUAAAGUUCAUAUGCAUCAUAUGUUAUAAAAAUUAAAAGAUGUAGGAUUAUAUGUGAAGAUGAAAAAGUGUGUAUUCCAAACUACUCAAGUUGACUUUAUGGAGUACAUUAUUUCCAAUGAAGGCCUUAUGAUGGAUCCAAAGAAAGUCCAAACUAUUAUAGAUUGAAAGAUCCUAAGAAUAAUAAGAGAUGUACAAUACUUUUUGGGCUUUGCCAAUUAUUACCAAACCUUUAUCAAGAAUUUUUUUCAAGUUGUAGCUCCAUUUACAUGUUUAACUUAUAAAGACAAACUUGAGAGAAAUAAAGAAGCCAAAGCAUCCUUUCUUGCUUUGAUGAAAGAAUUUAUUUGUGCACUAACUUUGUAUUGCGUUGACUUUUCUAAGACAUUCUUUAUGGAAAAAAAUGCAUCAAAAUUUGCUUUGGAUGUAAUAUUGUCACAAAUGAAAAUAAAUGACAAAUUCCAUCUAGUACCAUUUUAUUCCAAAAAAAUUUCAGUAACCAAGAUUCACUAUAAGAUCUAUCACAAAGAACUUCUUGUAAUUAUGGAUUCAUUUCAAGAAUAGUAUCAUUAUCUAAAAGGCGCUUUAAGCCAAGUCAUAAUAUAUACAGAUCACAAGAACCUUGAGUAUUUUAUGUCAAUAUAUAUUUUAAAUUAUUGCCAAGCUCGUUGGAGCAUGUCAUUAUCAAGAUUUGAUUUCAAGAUGACAUAUCAACUUAGAAAAUAAUAAGGUUUAUCAAAUGCUCUUUUUAGACACUCUUAUCUUGAUUUUUGAUUUGAUCUUUGUCAAAAGUUUUUAAUUAAGUAUGUCUUUUGAUCUUUUUAUUCAUGAUAUGAAGAAUCUUUCUUCUAAGUCUUAUGUUGCUUCAAAGUUUGAGUUCAAAAACAACAUACUCUACUUUGAAAGAUCCCUAUAUAUUCUAGAAAGAAAAAUAUAUUUACGUAUUAUUCAAGUAUGUUACAACUUUUUAGCAAUAGGACAUUUUGGAUACAACAAGACUUUAGAGCUUAUAUCAAGAGAUUUUUGGUGUUGCAAAUGUGGUAAAAGACUUUGUCUAGUCAUGUGACAUUUGUUCAAGAUCAAAAACUCCUUAUCAUCGAUUCUAUAGACUUUUCCAAAUAUUGUUUGUACCUAAACAACCAUGGUUUUCAAUUUCUAUGGAUUUUAUUAUAGAUCUUCCAAAUUCAAGUUCAUAUGAUUCUAUAUUUAUAAUCGUAGAUUGCUUCAUCAAAAUAACAUAUUUUAUACUAUGUAUAAAAUAUAUUUCAGGUAAAGAAAUAGCUAAACUUUUUAUUGACAAUAUCUAUUGCUAUCAUAGAUGGCUAAAGGAUAUUAUAUCAGAUAGGGGACUCAAUUUGUAUCAAGAUUUUAGAAAAUCCUAUUCAAGAUUUUAAAAGUAGAUAUAAAGCUCUCUUCAACUUUUCAUCUUCAAAUUGAUAGACAAAUGGAAGGCAUGAAUCAAGUUCUAAAGUAAUAUUUGAAGUGUAGUAUCAAUUCUCAUCAAAAUGAUUGAACAACUCUUUUCCUAUUGGUAGAAUUUCCAUACAAUAAUUUGAUAUAUUCUUCUACUCAACAAAUAUCUUUCUUUGUCAAUUAUGGUUAUCAUCUAUGACUUGAUACUUUUGACUUUUCAAAAAUUGAUAAUCAUGCGAUGAAAGACUAUCAAAGAGUCAAUUAUCACAUUCAAUGGUUGAAGCAAUAAAUUACUCAGAUGAAUCUGCUCUUAGCAUUGUCAAUAAUAAAUCUUUGAUAUUAUCUUUUAAUCCAUAUAAAAAUUGAUUGAUAAAGGCUUUGUCAUUUGAAUUCAUGUUGUCUUGUUGUGAGAUAACUUUAUGAUAAAAAUAUAAUAAAAAAUAAUUUUUUAAUUAAUAUCUAAUUAUUUUGAUUCAAUAAUAAUUCAAGAUAUUUAAAUAUAAUUUUUAUAAAUAUUCCUUAUUUAACUUUCUUACUUAAUGACUAAUAGAAUAAAAGUCGAUUAGUAAUUUUAUAUUCUAGAGUAUAAAAAUUCUUUUACUACCUUAGAAAGGCCAUAAAUUAAUAAAAUAAUAUUAGAAGAGAUAAAUAAUUAGCAUGGUUGAUACUAGGAUUAAAUUAAAGAUAGGGUUGAAAAAAAAUUCCUAGAGUAGAUUAGAUUGAUACUCGGGAAUCAACCGUUCAUUGGAGAGGGUCAAAAAUAGACCUCCAACCAUUAAAAUGAUGGCCUAAGUCAAAGUUAGGAAGUAUUUGAAGAUUGAUAAUUAGCAUUGAUGAGUUAGUCCAAAUUGACUCAUUAAUUAUUUUAAGAUAAAAAGAUACAUUUAAAAUGGUUAGAACCACAAUAUAUAGUAAAUAGUAUAGAAAUCUUUAGACAAAUAGAAAAUUAGAGUAUUAGUUGUAGAAUUAGAGUCUUAGUAAAUCUUAAAGAUAAUAAUCUUAGUUGAUUUAUUAUUUAUUUAUUUAUUAUUAAAUAUUGAGGGAUAUUUACUAAGGUUAUUAUUUAUAUUGUCCUUCUAUUUAUACAUAUUAUUCAUAAUAAAAACUAUAAAUAUUUGUUAGUAGCUAGAAGAAGUAUGAGAAAGAACCUCAUGUCUUUUUAGUUAGUUAUAUAGAAAGUAGAAUUUAUAGUAGAUUUAAAUUGAUUUUAUUACUAUAAAAAUAAUUAAGAUAGGAAAUUAUAGCCUUCAACUAAUACUAAUAUUAUAGAACUAUUAAAGAAUUUUUUAGAAUUUUUUAAAGAAUUUUUAGAGCAAUUUCUAAGACUUUGAUAAAAAUGAGUUUUAUCACUUUGGAAGCUAUUAUGAAGAAAUGGAGAAAGACUUGAAGGCCACUAAUGGCUCAUAGGCUGAAUAGAUGUUUUUAAAUACCAUGGUGAAGUCAAAAAUAUAAAUUUAUGGAUUUUACUAAUAGAAAAUAGGAAGACAAGCAGCUAGUGUAGUCCUUGUUAGAGGGGAGGUUCUCAAGUCCCAUAUGGAUUGUAGCACCUUGAAGGUAGUUAAGAAGAUAAGACUAAGGCCUCAUGGCUUCUCUUAGGAACCAAUAUAUACUACUUAUGAGCCUUAGUGAGGCUCGAACUCUUGAUCUCUUAAACAAAUUACCUUUGAGAUAAAAUUAUUUAUUUAAUUUUUAUUUAUCUACUUAUUAUUUUAAAACCUUCAUAAUUUACUAAUAAUAACUUGAAUUUAUAUGUUUCUUAUAUCAUUGAAAAGUUGAAAAAAUUCUUUCUAAAAAUAUUUUUUAUUUUUACUAUUUAUUUUUUAUUAGAUAAAAACUCAAUAAAUAAAUUGUGACUAGUUUUGUAGUAUACAAUUACUUGAUUGCACUUAUUUUACUUAUUUUUUUGUAUUUUUUUCCUUUUUCUUUCUUUUUCAUACUUCCAUUAUACACCACUAAUAAUAAAAAAAAAUUAAUUGAAGCUAUCUUGUAAUUUGGAUUGAGGAGUGAAAUUUACAUUCAUAAAACCUCUUAUUGAGUAAAAAAAGACUUAUUUCUAUCAAAAAGAUUUUUAAUUUUAUAAGAAUCUAAGCACAUUACUUAAUAUUUUUUUAAAAAACAAAGCAAUAACAAAAUAAGAAGCAUAGUUACCAAAAAAAACAAUGUAUCAAAAAAUGAGCUUUUGUAGCUAUGAUAAAGAUUGUGCACCUAAAAUCUUGUGUAAUACCUUGUAAAGGUCCUAUUCAUUCUUCAAAUCCCUCAUCUUAUUUCACAAUAGAAGUUUAUUCAGGAUCAAAAAAUUACAAAGUCUUAGCUUUAUUAGAUUUAAUAGCCUCAAUAUGUUUUUUAGAUAAAGAUUUUAUUAAAAAAGAAAAAACAUUUGAAGUCAAGAAAACUAAACUCGUACAUAUAAAAGUCAUAGAUAGUCAUGUGCUAUCUUUUCGAGCUGUUAUCUAUAAAGUUGUUUUUUUAGAUGUAAAAAUUAAAGAUUAUAAUAGCGUAAUAAUAUUUAAUGUGAUAAGAUCUUCAUUCAAUUUGAUUAUUUUAAGAUUAUUUUGUUAUAAAAGUAUAAUCUUUAAAUAGAUUAGAUUUCUUGUAACUUUAAUUUUUCUUGUAGUUUGAUAUAAAAUUCUAUUAGUUAAAUAAAAAUACAUAAGUCUAAUACAUCCAAAUAAUUAUUGGUAGAUUUGAAACCUUUUAUUAUUAUUGUAAAAAAAAAAAUCAUCUUUUGUUAUAUAUGCUACAUUUAUUUGUGAUGGUGGAAAGACAUCAAGUUGUAUUCCUAUCCAUUAUCAAGAUUUCCAAGAUGUUUUUGAAAAGAAGAAUCCAAAUAUUCUUCCAAAGCAUUGACCUGAUGAUUGUUCAAUUGAUUUCUAAGAAGAAAAUCAACCACCAUUUGGACUAAUUUAUAACUAUUGCAAAAUGAGUUAAGUGUAUUAAAAGAAUAUAUUGAUGAAAAUUUGAUUAAGAACUUCAUAUCUCAAUUAAAAUUUCCAAUAGGAGCUCCUAUCUUAUUUGUCAAGAAAAAGAAUGGAUCUUUGUUGAUGUGCAUAGACUAUUAGGGACUUAAUAAGAUCACCUUCAAAAAUAGAUAUUUUUAUCUCUAAUUUCUAAACUUAUCAAUUAAUUCAAUUAAAUAAAGAUCUAUACAAAUAUAGAUCUAUAAGGACCAUAUCACUUGGUCUACAUGAAAGAAAGAAAUGAAUGAAAUACUACUUUUAAAACUAGAUAUGGACAUUUUGAAUAUAAUAUCAUAUCUUUUGGACUCACAAAUAUAUCAACUACUUUUUCAAUAUCUUAUGAACAAUAUUUUUUAUCAGUUUUUUUGAUGAUUUUAUUGUCUAUUAUUUAGACAAUAUUUUAAUCUAAUCUAAAAACAAAAAAAAUAUGAAUUUCAUGUUUUUUAUAUGACACAAAAAUUUAGAGAUGCAAGAUUGUAUGCUAAGAUAAAAAAGUGUAUAUUUUACAUUAGUGAAGUUGAUUUCUCAAGAUAUAUCAUUUUCAACAAAGGACUAAUGAUGGAUCUAAAGAAGGUCUAAAUUAUCAUAGAUUGGAAGAUUCUAAAAACAAUCAAAGUUAUAUAAUAUUUUUUGGAAUUUUUCCAUUAUUACAAAAUCUUCAUUAAGAUUUUUUUUCAAAUUGUAGUUCUCCUUAUACAUCUAGCAUGUAAAGAUAAACUUGAAUAGAGCAAAGAAGCUAAAGCAUUUUUUGAAGACUUGAUGACAUUAUUUAUUUUGCACCAAUUUUAUAUCAAGUUAAUUUUUCAAGGUAUUUUUUUAUAGAAACAAAUACAUCAGACAUUGCUAUAGGUAUUUUUUUUAUUACAAAUAGGAGUAUAUGAUAAGUUCCAUCCAAUAGCUAUUCAUUCUAAGAAAAUUAAUAGUUGAGAUUAACUAUGAAAUCCAUGACAAAGAACUUAUGAUUGUAGAUUCAUUUAAAAAAUGGCAUCAUUAUCUAAAAGGUACUUCUAAUCUAAUCACUAUUGUCAUGAUAUAAUAUAGCUAAUGAAUGAAAGAAUAAAAAAAAUGUUAUAUUAUAGAAGAUCUUAUUUUAAAAUAUUAUAGAAAAUAUCUUACAAAAUAGAUAAUAGUCAAAAAAAUAUAAAAUUAAAGGAUACUAUUACUCCCUUUUUACAAAAUAGGCUUCUAUUUAUUCUGUAGGACCAUAAAUAAGGCAAAACUAAGUAGAUUAGGAAAUAAAAUGAUAUAGAUAUGUAUAGGAGAGAAUUAAAAGUAAAAUUUUAGCAAAAAUUACCUCAAGAAGCCAAGAAUUGAUAUCCAAAAAGGACCAAUUGUCAACUUGAAUUGAAAUCAGACCUCAAGGCAUAAAACCAUAUACCUAUAGUGACUCCAGGAUUUUUUUGCAGAUUUAAGAAUAAGAUUUGAUAGUUGACUUGAUAAGGUUUCUUUAGACGUUGAUUUUGAUUGAUUUGAGUAUGUAAUGACUUUGUUAAAGCUUAGCAAAGUCACCAUUGUUUUAGGUGAUUCUAAAAUUUGUGAAAUAAAAAAGAUAUUAUGUUUUGGAGUAUUUUGUAAAUUUGGUAGUAAAUAUAUAAUUUAAAUUUUGAGAACUUAUGUGAAUAGUUAUUUGAAAUAUAUGCUAUAAAUUUGAGCUUGAUCAAAUGAUUGAAUCAAAGGUUAUUGAAUUUUAAGUAGGUUGAAAUCUCAGAAAUUAGACUUUGAUGGACAAUUAGGAUUUUUAAGAUCUUCAGCAAUCUAUUAAUUGGAUUGGAGUGAAAUUUAUAUAUAAAGGUAAUAGAAUUGAUUUAUUAUAAAUAUGUGAAUGUUAAAAAUAAUUGAAUGGUAUGAAAAAGAAAUAUUAGUACUAGAAGACCGCCAUCAAGAUUGAAGAAAGAAGCUAGCCAACUUCUAAGCAGAUUUUGAUAUUUUUCUUUUAUUUGCUAGAUGUCCAAUGCAUUUUUAAAUAAGACUUCAUAUAAUAUAACAUUGUAUAUAUGAAUCUGUCACGGCCAUAAUCAUGUAAGCUAAUAAUUACAUAUAGAAAUAGGUAGAAGUAAGUAAAAGUAGAUAAAAGUAAAUUAAUUCUAUAAUAUUUAAUAUAGAAGCUUCCUAGAAACUUCCUAGAUGCUGCUUUGACUUCAUAGGUGUCUUUAAUUGACUUUUUGGAUUAGAAACGUGGUCAACAAGUUGGCCAUGUGCCACACAUGUUGUUAGCUUGAAGAUCAAGCUAACUAUGUGGCUCACACGUAGAAAAACUUACCUUGUAAGUCAAGGCAUGUGUCCUACAAAGUCAACACAUAUUGGAGGUCCUAUAGAACGUCGCCACGUAGCUCCUAGUUAGAUAGUAUAUAUAGAGACAAGAAUGAAGGCUUCUUCACUCUUGUCAACUCCUUUCUUGCUUCUAGUCCAGGUUCAAGAGUCUUUAGUUUCUUGUCUUGUGGCAAUAGCCAUUCCAGUUUCCUUUUAAUAUACCUACUUGUUUAUAUUUUGACUUAUUAUAUCGAGAUAGCCUUUUUGUAUAUUUUCCCUCAUCGAGUCUUUGUCCUUGAUAGAUUGACAAGAGUACACUUACAAUAUCAGAGCUUUGUUUUUCUUGAGUGAGAGUGGAUUACCCCUUUCUCUUGACAAGACAUAAGCGUAUUAGAAGUUUGCGGAUUACCCACUUCUAAACUGAUAUUGUUCUUAGUAUCUUCUUUGUUAUCAAGUCUUUCUUUUCUUUUGUCUUGAGCAGUAUCAAACAAAUUUUUCUUAGUGUCAUUAUGACAGAGCUUGUUGAAAUGAAGAGUGCAAUGGUACAAAUGCAAGAGCAAAUGAGGGAGUUAAUGCUUGCGAUGCAUCAACUCAAUUCACCAACACAUGAAAGAACAAGAAUAGCAAAAAGUGGAGAUAUAGAGAUGAUCGGAGCUGCUUCAACAUCUACAACAAAUCACGUUCCUUCUCCAAUUGUACAACACCCUGUAAGCACUAGAGAACCAAGAAUUGCCUUACCCGAGAAAUUUGAUGGUGUGAGAUCUAAGUUUCGAGGGUUCAUCAAUCAAGUACAAUUGGCAAUUGAACUUCAACCGCAAAGCUAUCCAACUCCAGGAUCACAAGUCAUGUUUAUUGGCACUCUACUUUCUGGUUUUGCAUUAUCAUGGUUUUCGUCUUUUCUUGAACAACGAAAUCCAAUAUUGGACAAUUUGGAAGCUUUUUUGGCGGAGUUUCGAUCUAUGUAUGGUGAACACGAUGCAACUCGUGUUGCAACAAAUAAGAUCCAAAUUCUGCGACAAGGAAAUCGCUCAGUAACAGUGUAUGCUUCACAAUUUUGACAACUUGUAAUUGACAUCAAGUGGGAUGAUGCUGCACUCAUUAGUCAAUUUCUUUAUGGAUUGCAAUACGAAGUAAAGAAAUUGAUGCUCAACUUACCUGAUCCUCAAACUUUGAGUCAAGCAAUCGAUUUUACGGUAAAAUGUGAUAAUCGACUUUUUGAAUUUCGAUCUGAGAAUCAUUCACGGGAACCUCAACGUUAUUACUCAAUGGCAACAUCAACAUCUUUGCCAAACGUACAUUCGGAAGUAAAAGACAUGCAAAUUGACGUGGUACGUUUUAAACCUCUAAUUGAGCAAAAAAAGAUUCGUCGUCGUCAAGAAGGAUUAUGUUUAUAUUGCGGAGAACCUAAGCACACUACUCAACAUUGUCCAAAGAAACGACGCAACUAUAAAAUGAGGGGUACGACGGUCAAAGAAGACAACAUGUCGGGAAACGGAUUCGUCCAGCUACAAUAGGGACCGUGCAGCUGGAACCUUGUACAAUUCCUAAUGAAGGUCCUAUCCUCUCCUCAGAACCCUCUCCUUGUUUUAUAAUAGACUUAUAUUUAGGACCUAAGAAUUACAAAGCCUCUGCUUUAUUAGAUUCGGGAGCCUCAGCAUGUUUUUUAGAUGAACAAUUUGUUAAAAGUCGUAAAAUAUCCUUUGUACAGAAACCUAAACCAGUACAUGUAGAAGUCAUAGAUGGUCGUCCCUUGUCUUCUGGAGAUGUCACUCAUGAAACUCAUCCUAUAAAAGUAACAAUAGACGGUCAUGAUAGCUACAUAGCUUUUAACAUAAUUAAAUCCCCGUCCAAUCCAGUUAUUUUAGGUUUAUCCUGGCUAGAAAAAUAUUACCCUCGAAUAGAUUGGAAUUCGCAUAAACUUGACUUUUCCCAGAGCGUUAUUAAUAGUUCUACUAACCAAGUAAAAAAUUAUAAGUCUAGUAUAGUAAAACCCGCACUGAUAGGUGCAAAAGCAUUUAUACACGCAGCAAAAGAAGGAUCAACUUUUGCUAUUUAUGCUGCACCUAUUUCUGAAAACGUAAAGACUUCAAGUGGCAUUCCAAGUCAAUAUCAGGAGUAUCAAGACGUUUUUGAGAAAAAGAAUGCAGAUAUUCUUCCUGAGCAUCGUCCAUAUGAUUGUUCAAUCGACCUCAAGGAAGGAACUCAGCCACCAUUUGGACCAAUUUACAGUUUAUCGCAAGAUGAGAUGGCUGAACUCAAGACAUAUAUUGACGAGAAUUUAGCGAAGAAUUUCAUACGCCAUUCAAAAUCUCCAGCAGGAGCUCCAAUUCUAUUCAUAAAGAAAAAAGAUGGAUCUUUACGAAUGUGUGUUGAUUAUCGAGGACUCAACAAGAUCACAAUCAAGAACAGGUAUCCAUUACCUUUGAUAUCAGGACUCCUUGACCAGUUGAAUCAAGCUAAGAUCUAAGAGGAGCAUAUAAUCUAGUACGGAUCAAAGAAGGAGAUGAAUGGAAGACUGCGUUUCGAACCAGGUAUGGACAUUUCGAAUAUAAUGUCAUGCCCUUUGGACUCACGAAUGCACCAGCUACUUUUCAACAUCUCAUGAAUGAUGUAUUUCGUGAAUUCUUAGACAAUUUUGUCGUCUGCUAUCUAGACGAUAUCCUGAUCUAUUCUAAGAACGACGAAGAAUAUGAAAUACAUGUUCGUCAAGUAUUACAAAAACUUAGAGAUGCAGGAUUGUACGCGAAGAUGGAAAAGUGUGUAUUUCACACUACUCAAGUUGACUUUUUAGGAUACAUCAUUUCAAAUGAUGGUCUCAUGAUGGAUUCUAAGAAAGUCCAAACAAUCAUGGAUUGGAAGAUUCCAAGGACAGUAAGAGAUGUCCAAUGUUUCUUGGGAUUUGCCAAUUACUAUCGGAUCUUCAUCAAAGAUUUCUCACGAGUUGCAGCUCCACUUACACGCUUGACUAGUAAAGAUAAAUUUCAAUGGAAUCAAGAAGCGGAAGCAGCAUUUGAAGCUUUGAAGACAUCGUUUGUUUCUGCACCAGUCUUAUAUCGUGUUGACUUUUCCAAGGCAUUUUUUAUGGAAACAGAUGCAUCAGAUUUUGCCUUGGGUGCAGUUUUAUCACAAAUGGGAACAGAUGACAAACUUCAUCCGAUAGCUUUUCAUUCAAGAAAAUUCUCAGCAGUCGAGAUCAAUUAUGAGAUCCACGAUAAAGAACUUCUUGUGAUCGUGGAUUCCUUUCAAGAAUGGCGUCAUUAUCUAGAAGGCGCUUCUAGUCCAGUCACUGUGUAUACAGAUCACAAGAACCUCGAGUAUUUCAUGUCAGCACGCGUGUUGAAUCGGCGUCAAGCUCAUUGGAGUAUGUCUUUGUCAAGAUUCGAGUUCAUUAUCACUUAUCGGCCAGGAAAAUAACAAGGUUUAUCCGAUGCCCUAUCUAGAUGUUCUUAUUUUGCACCAAAAGAAGGAGAUGCAGCUUUUGAGCAACAAAGAACGGUCCUCUUGAAACUGGAGCAAUUUCAUCUCCGAGCAAUGAAAUCAACAUUGACUGUUGAUUCAAUUUUUCUCAAGCAAAUCCAGUCCAGUAUGUCCUCAGACCCUCUUGUUUAUGAUAUCAAGAAUAAUUCUUCCAAGUCUCAUGAUCCUUCUAAGUUCGAGUUCAAGAAUAAUCUAUUAUAUUUUGAAGGACGCCUAUAUGUUCCAGAAGGAGAAGCACGUUUACGUGUUCUUCAAGCACGUCAUGACUUUCCAGCAGCAGGGCACUUUGGAUAUAAUAAGACUUUGGAACUCAUAUCAAGAGAUUUUUGGUGGCCACAAAUGUGGAAGUCAGUCAAAGACUUUGUACAAUCAUGUGAUAUUUGUUCAAGAUCAAAAAUUCCUCGUCAUCGACCUUACGGACUUCUUCAGCCAUUACCUAUACUAGAACAACCAUGGUCUUCUGUUUCUAUGGAUUUCAUCACAGAUCUUCCAAGCUCAAGAUCUUAUGAUUCUAUAUUUGUGAUAGUAGAUCGUUUCACCAAGAUGGCACAUUUUGUGCCAUGUACAAAAUCUAUCACAGGUGAAGAAACAGCUAAGCUUUUCAUUGAUAAUAUCUAUCGCUAUCAUGGAUUACCUAAAGAUAUCAUAUCAGAUAGGGGAACUCAAUUUGUGUCAAGAUUUUGGAGGACCCUUUUCAAGAUUUUAAAAGUGGACAUAAAGCUAUCUUCGGCUUUCCAUCCUCAAACUGAUGGACAAACAGAGCGAGUAAACCAAGUCUUGGAGCAAUAUUUAAGGUGUACUAUCAACUACCAACAAGAUGAUUGGACAACCCUUCUGCCAUUGGCAGAGUUUGCUUAUAAUAAUACGGUACAUUCUUCCAUGCAACAAACACCUUUCUUUGCCAAUUAUGGCUAUCAUCCACGACUUGAUACUUUUGAUUUUUCAAAAGUUGAUAAUCCUGCAGCAGAAGAUAUGGCAAAUCGGUUGUCAGAGUUACAUGCAAUAAUGAAGACGCAAUUGAAGGAAGCUCAAGAACGACAAAAGAUAAAUACAGAUCUAUAUCGUAAGGAGCAACCACAACUCAAUGUGGGUGAUAAGGUAUGGCUACUUCGUCGCAAUAUCAAGACUACUCGACCUUGUGACAAGUUGGACUAUCGUAGGCUUGGCCCCUUUUCUGUUUCUGAACAGAUCAACCCAGUUGCAUAUCGGUUACAUCUAUCGGAGUCAAUGAAGAUCCAUCCUGUAUUCCACGUGUCUCUUCUUGAACCAUAUAAGACAGUGGAUAUACAAGAAAGAAAACAAAUGCCACCGCCUCCUAUAGAAGUAGAUAAUAAUGAAGAAUUUGAGGUGGAAGAGAUAUUAGACUCAAGGCGGCGCCGAAAUAAGCUGGAAUAUCUUGUUCAUUGGCGCGGAUAUGAUAUUAGUGAACGCACAUGGGAGCCAUCUAGGAAUCUAGCAAAUGCAUCAGCUAAAGUCAAAGUUUUUCAUCAACGACAUCCAUCGAAACCAAGAUCAAAAUCUCUCUUAUAAAAGAGACAAGAUUGAGGCAAGAUAACAUUCAAUUUCCUAUCCUUGUUUGUAACUUCUUUACAUUUGUGACGCUAAUUAGAUGGAGAGCCAACAACCAGCGGAUUCAACUCAAGAACCUUCGUUUGUUGACCUGCCGGACGAGACAUUACGAUUGUCACAACCUUCAAGACGAUGCAAUCGAGAUGAACAUCUUCAAGAACGAUAUGUUCUUCCUCGAAUAGAUGGUGAGAUACAACGCAUUCAGUAUCACGAUUUGGGAAGGGACUCCCGAUGUUUGGUGAUUUUGCUAGAGGUAGGAACAACUCCUGAUGGUGUUCCAAAUAUUCUAUUCGAAGGAAGUUACGAAGGCCUCAACAAUGAUCAAAUAACUGGGUAGUCUUCCCGCCCUGGUAUGGGACACUACCGAUGGUUGAGAGGCCCUAUCAAUCAUCUUCGAAGAGAACAGAGAUCAGAGUAUGUGGCGAAUACAAUUCGUCGCAUCAUAGAUUUCUUCAACAUAUGAUGACCGCUCCUCGUGGAACUCGUCUCUAGAAGGGGGGGUAAUGUCAUGGCCAUAAUCAUGUAAGCUAAUAAUUACAUAUAGAAAUAGGUAGAAGUAAGUAAAAGUAGAUAAAAGUAAAUUAAUUCUAUAAUAUUUAAUAUAGAAGCUUCCUAGAAACUUCCUAGAUGCUGCUUUGACUUCAUAGGUGUCUUUAAUUGACUUUUUGGAUUAGAAACGUGGUCAACAAGUUGGCCAUGUGCCACACAUGUUGUUAGCUUGAAGAUCAAGCUAACUAUGUGGCUCACACGUAGAAAAACUUACCUUGUAAGUCAAGGCAUGUGUCCUACAAAGUCAACACAUAUUGGAGGUCCUAUAGAACGUCGCCACGUAGCUCCUAGUUAGAUAGUAUAUAUAGAGACAAGAAUGAAGGCUUCUUCACUCUUGUCAACUCCUUUCUUGCUUCUAGUCCAGGUUCAAGAGUCUUUAGUUUCUUGUCUUGUGGCAAUAGCCAUUCCAGUUUCCUUUUAAUAUACCUACUUGUUUAUAUUUUGACUUAUUAUAUCGAGAUAGCCUUUUUGUAUAUUUUCCCUCAUCGAGUCUUUGUCCUUGACAGAAUCACAAGUAUUCCAAGUGAUUCAUAUCAAUAAAUAUUUUGAAUAAUUUCUAAGUUUAUUAAAUCAUGUUUAUAUUUAGAUUUGAUUUCAAGAUAACUUAUCAACUCAAAAAAUAAUAAGAUUUAUCAAAUGCUCUUUCUAGAUAUUCUUAUCUUAUACCAAAAAAAAAGAUACAGCUUUUGAUUAAUAAAAUAAAAUUUUCUUAAAGCCAAAGUAUUUUCACCUUCAAGAAAUAAAAUCAAUAUUGACUAAUAAUUCAAUUUUUUUUAAGUAAAUUUAAUCAAGUAUUUUUUUUGAUCAUCUUGUUCAAGGUAUCAAAAAUCAUUCUUUUAAGUCUCAUGAUACUUCAAAGUUUGAGUUUAAAAAUAAUUUAUUCUAUUUAGAAGAAAAAUUAUAUAUUUCAAAAGACAAAGCAUGAUUAUGUUUUUUUUAAGCUCCUCAUGACUUUCUAGCAACCACACAUUUUGGAUACAAUAAGACUUUGGAGUUAAUAUUAUGAAAUUUUUGGCGGUCUCAAAUAUAAAAGGUGGUUAAAAACUUUGUACAAUCAUAUGAUAUUUGUUCAAGUUCAAAAAAUCCUUAUUAUUAACCUAAUAGACUUCUUCAGCCAUUACCUAUUUUAGAUCAACUAUAGUCUUCUAUUUCUAUGGAUUUUAUUACGGAUCUUCUAGUCUCAAGUUUGUAUGAUUCUAUAUUUAUGAUAAUAGACUAUUUUAUUAAGAUGGCAUAUUUUGUACUAUAUAAAAAAUUUAUCAGAAGUAAAAAAAUAACUAAGUUUUUUUUUGAUAACAUCUAUUGCUAUUAUGAAUUAUCUAAGGAUAUUAUAUUAAAUAAAGAUAUUCAAUUUUCAUCAAGAUUUUUAAGAAUCCUUUUUAAGAUUCUAAAUUUGGAUAUAAAGCUCUCUUUGGCUUUUUAUCUUCAAACUAAUAGAUAAAUAAAACAAAUGAAAGAAGUUCUGAAAUAAUAUUUGAGGUAUACCAUCAAUUAUCAUCAAGAUGAUUGGACAACUCUUUUGUCAUUCGUAAAGUUUGCAUAUAAUAAUUUGGUAUAUUUUUCUAUUCAACAAACACCUUUUUUUUUUGCUAAUUAUGGUUAUCAUCUAUAACUUGAUACAUUUGACUUUUCAAAAAUUGAUAAUCUUAUAGCAAAAGUUUUAACAAAUCAUUUGUGAGAGCUACAUGCAAUAAUAAAGGCAUAAUUAAAAGAAACUUAAGAAUGACAAAAGAUCAACAUAGAUGCCUAUUGCAAAGAACAACAAUUCAAUGUAGGUAAUAAGGUAUGAUUAUUUUGUCACAAUAUUAAGACUACUCGUGCUUAUAACAAGUUGGACUAUUAUAGAUUUGGACCUUUAUUUAUUUGUGAAUAAGUCAAAGAUGUUGCUUAUUAAUUAUAUCUAUCGGAUUCUAUAAAGAUCCAUUUUGUAUUCCAUGUAACUUCUUUUGAGCCAUAUAAGAAAAUAAAUAUCUUAGAAAAAAGAAAAAUACCAUCUUCUCUUUGAAAAGUGGAUAAUAAUCAAGAGUUUGAAGUGGAAGAAGUCUUAGAUUCAAAGCAAUACCAAAAUAGGUUGAAAUAUCUUAUUUAUUGAUGUAGAUCUGAUAUUAAUCAAUACACAUGGGAGCUAAGAAAGAAUCUUACAAAUGUAGCAAAGAAAGUUGAGGCUUUUCAUUGACACCAUCCAUCAAAAUCAAGAUGAAGAAUUGCAAGAUUCAUGAAAGAUAAUGAUUGCUCCUUAUGGAAUUCAUCCUUAGAAGAAGAAAUAAUGUCAUGGACAUACACAUUUACUCCAAUAGUUACUUAUAUGAUUAGAUAAAAGUAAAUAAAUAUAAAUUAAUUUCACAAUAUCUUCUAAAGAAGCUUUUUAGAAGCUAUAUAGUUAGAAUUUUGACUUUAUAGGUGUUUGUAGUUAAUUGAUAGGUUAGAAAAUUGAUCAAUAAGCUAAUCAUGUUAGUAACUUAUAAAACAAGUUAACUAUGUGGUGCGCAUAUAGAUAACUUGUCUUGCAAAUUAAGACAUAUGUCUAAUAAAAUCAACAUAUGCUAGAGGUCCUAUAGAAGAUUACCACGUAUCUUCUUAUUAGAGAGUAUAUAUAGAGGCAAGAGUGAAGCCUUCCUAUUCUUGCCAAUGCCUUUUUAGUUCUUAGUUUUGUUUCAAGACUUUUUAGACUUCUUAUCUUUAGCAAGAGCCAUUCCAGUUCAAUAUGUUACCAUCUUUGAAUAAUUUUUUAAUCUUUUCAAGUAACACAAGAGUAUAUUGAGGAUUUCUUUCUUUAAAAUCCAUGUCUUUGAUAAGUAGAACUCAAUUUUAUCAUAGUCUUGAAAACAUUUCUAAAACAUCCUAAAAUAUUUUAAAUAAAUUCUAAAUAAAUUAUAAUUUUUUAUAAUAUUCUUAUUAUGCUAAUAUCAAUUUAAAUUUAUAUUUUUUAUUUCAAUAUUUUUAUAAUAAUAAAAUUAAUCUAAAUCAACGAUUUUUUUUUAUUGAAAUAAGUAAAAAGAUAUAAAAUUCUUCUUUAUAUUUUUUAUUAAUUAUUAUUUAAAAUUAAUAGUUUUUUAUAAAUAAAAUAUAUUAUAAAAAUCUAAUAUAGAUAUUAAUCUCAAUAAUUAACUAUUAAUACUUUAAAAUACUUAAAAAUUCUAAAUCAACUAAGAUAAUUACCUUAAAGAAUUUUUAAGAUUUUAUUUUUGUAAUGUUUUUUAAUAAGAAUUUUUUAAUUUUUUAAUAUUUUUAAAUUAUGAAAAAUACUUAAAUAAUCAAAAAUAUUCUUGAAGCUUAAUAUUUUUAUAAUUAAAUGACUUCAAAUUAUAUUCUUAAUUAAUUUAUCAAUUUAGAUCCAUUAGUAGGAUUUAUAUAAUAUACUUUAAUCCAAUCAUAUUAUUUUUUUUUAAACUUUUGAAUUCUAAAAAUAAGAUAUUUUUAAGUGAUAUUUUAAAUUAGAUGAUUUUUUAAACAAAAUAUAAUGAUUUUAUUAUUACAUUUUUAAAUUUUUUAGAAUACAAAAAAAUAAAUAAAUUAAAAGGUCUAUGUCUUAUAAAUAAAUCAUUACAUAAAAUCUUGUCAAAAAAUUUACAAGAGAAGAUAAAAAAAAUUAUGUAACUUGUGUAUUUUAAUUUUGAAAAGUUAUAAAAUAAAAUGGCUUUAUUUUUUCAACAAUUAAUUGGAAAUCAAGAAAAUUUAAUGGAUGUCUAUAUUAAGAUCUUUUAUGAAAGAAAUUCCAUAAUUUUUAUCAUUUCAAAUUAUAAACAUGUAAAUAGCACGUAAUUGCUUUAAGGCCAAGGUUAUUAAAGAUUUUAUAAUUAAGAUAUGCAAGUAAUAACUAUAAAAAAAAAUAUUAGUAGUAUAUUAAAGACAUCUUAAAAAGAAUACAGAGCUGAAAAUAUAACUUAAUUUUAUUUAAAUUCUUAUUUUUAAUUUUUCUUUUAUAAAAUAAUAUUAUUUUUUAUUCUUUUCAAUCACAUUCUUUAACUUUGGUUAAUUUUCUUCUAUAAAGAAAGAAAUCUAUAAUUAUUUAUUGAAUGUUUCUUGAGAUAAUAAUUUCAUUAAAUUUAGUCCUUAAAACAAUUUAAAAUGGUACAAAUUUUUUUUAUUUCGUACACAAUAGGAUGAAUUAAGUCAUUAUUUUAAUUUUCAAUUAUGUAUAAGUUAAUAAUAUUAUUCUUAAAAAUUGAAUAGCUAAUAUCUUUAAAGAAAUUGGAUUUGUUGAAUUACACAAGCUUGCAAUAACUACCAAUUGGGAUUGGCCAAUUUAUAAAUUUGACAACUUUAGAAUUAUAAGGAUGCAAAAGCUUGCAAUAUUUACUUAUUAAGAUUAGUUAAUUGGUACAUUUGAUAACCUUAGAUUUGACAUUUUAUAUAAGACUGCUACAAUUAUUGAUUGAAAUUGGCCAACUGAUGAAUUUGAUAAACUUAAAAUUAUGAGGAUAUAAAAGCUUACAACAAAUAUUAAUUGAAAUUGAGAAAUUAGUGAGUUUGACAACCUUAGAUUUGUCAAAAUGUGAAAGCUUGUAACAACUAUCAGUUGAGAUUGGCUAACUUGUGAAUUUAACUACUUUAGAUUUAUUGGAUGUAAAAACUUGUAACAACUACUAAUUAAGAUUGACAAGUUGGUAAAUUUAACAAUCAUAUAUACUACUUAUAUCAAUAAACUUAAGUUGAACAUAUCAAUUUAACUUUUUAAUUUUAUUUUCUAUCUUUAAAUAUUUAUAGCUUAUUUAAUUUAAUUUAAAUUUAUAUAUUUUUAAUUUAUUAAAAAAAAAUAUUUCUAAAAAUAUUUUUUUAUUGAAUAAAAAUCAAUUGAAUAGAUUAUAAGUAGUUUUUGGAGUGUGUAAUUAUUUAAUUGUAUUUUUUUAAUUCAAAUAGAUAUUUUUUUUUAAUCAUAAAUUAUAUCUUUCAAUUCAUACCACCAAGUACAAAGAACUUUUAAUUGAAGCUAUGUUGUAAUUUGAGUUGAAGAAUGAAUUUUACACUCACAUCUUGGCAUUAUCAAAAUAUAUAAGUUUGCAAUGGUUAUCAAUUGACAAUGGCUAAUUUAUAAAUUUUUAUUUUUUUCUUGGUUUGAAUAUAUUUAAUUAAUAUUUGAUAUUAAUUAUUACUAUUAUAUUAUAAAAGAAAUAAAUUAAAAUCUUAAGUAAACUUGUAAUCAAUUAAUAUUCUAAUACAAAAGGAUUUAAUUGAAUAUUAAACUCUUUUUUAGAAUAAAAUUAUAAUAUAACAAUAUGUUUUAAAAGAGUCGAAUUAAAAAUAUUAUAGAAAAUUACUUUAAAAACAUAAGUAAAAAUCAAGGAGGUUCUAAAAAUAAUUUAAUUCUAAUUUUUUAUUAUUUAAAAAAAAUUCUAGUUAUUUCAUAGUAUCAUAAAUAAGAUAAAAAAGUAAAUUAGUAAAAAUAAUAUUAUAGUUAUUUUUAGAUAAAAUUAAAAAAUAUAUUUUAUCAAAAAUUACCUAAAAAAAAUUUAGAUUGAUAUUUUAAAAGAAUCAAUCAUGAAUUAGAAUUGAAACCAAAUCCUAAAGCAUAAAAUUGUAAACAUAUGGAAAAUAUAAGAUUUUUUUUAAUGACUUUGUAAGAACUUUGCAAAGUUAAGAUUUUUUUAGGUGGUUUUUUUUAAAUAAAAAAGUGGAAUUUUUUUUUAGGUUUUAUAGAAAAUCUUUUAUUAAAAAUUAUUGAUUUUUAAAAAAAAAAUUAUUAAAAUUUUUUAUAAAAUAAAAAUUGAUCUAAAAAUUAAAUAAAAGAUUAUUAAAUUUUAAGUUGAUUAUGGUCUUAGAAAUUGGAUUUUGAAGAUUAGUAAGAGAUUCUAUGAUUUUGAAAAUUUUGCUCAUUAGAUUGAAAUGGAUUUUUUGUAUGUUGUUAUUAGACUUAUUUUCUAAUAUUUUUUUAAAUUAUUAGAAAAAAUAAAAAAUACAAAAGAAAGUUAUUAAUGUUAGAAGAUUGACAUCAAGAUUGAAGAAGGAUGACAAUCAACAAUCUUAAAUAAAUUUCUAGUAGAUUAGAAGCCUUUUUUUUCCAAAGUAGAAGUUUAAUUUUUUAAAAUAUUUUAUGCUUAUUUAUAAAUAGUAGAUUGAGGAGUAUGAUAGGUUUGAAUUAAAAUAAAUAAUUAAAUUAGUAUUUAUUAUGAAUUUAAAUAUGAUAUAUAUUUUAUUUAAAAUUUGAUUAGAAUUUUAUUAAGAAUUGAUAAGAUUUAUUCAAGAUUUGAUUACAAUUUGAUUAGGAUUUUUUAAGAUUUGAUUAAAAUUUGGAUAGGAUUUAAUUAGAAUUUAUAAGAAUUUGAUUAAGAUUUUUUAAGAUUUACUUAAAAUGUAUGAAGAUUUUAUUAGGAUUUUUUAAAACUGAUUAGGAUUUAGUUAAGAUUUCUUGAAGGUCUUUUAUGUUUUAAUGAUGAUUUCUUAAUAAAAAAUUUAAGAUUUGAUUAUAGUUAUUAAGGAUUAUUUAAGAUUUAUUUGAAAUUAAUUAGAAUGUAAUAAGGUAUUUUAAGUAUUUUUCUAAAAUUGAUAAAGUAUACUUAAUAUAAUUAGAAGAUUAUUUAAAUUAUUUAGUACUAAUAAAGCUUAGAUUACUUUUAAUACUAGCUUUGCAAUGUUGGUUGUGGAUAUAGUGACAAUUGAGAGAAUGGUAGAGCUCUAUUAAUUGUAGUACUAUUAUUGACAUCUUUUACAUGGAUGAUUAAUGGAGGAAAGAAGUCAACAAUCUUUGGCAUCUUUGAGCAAUUUGAAAUAUAUAUUGUUAUAUUAAAGAACGUGGUGAAGAAGCUAUAAUUAUAAUAUUUGCACUUAAAUUUUUUUAACUUGAAUUAAUUAUCUAUAUAUUUAUGAUCAAAAUGCUGUCAAUAGGCAUUCUUCUUAUACCUAACCCUCUUUGAGUUUUUCAACAUCAUUCCUAAAAAAUUAAAUGAUUAUUGCAAUAGGUAAGAUAUGUCAAAUGACAACAAACAAGUGCAAUAAAUUUAGGAUUCUUAUUCAACUUCCUAAAAUAUCCAAAAUUUAUAAAAAAAAAACUUUAUAAAUUAAUCUCAAAUAAAUAUAUAUAUAUAUAUAUAUAUAUAUAUAUAGUUUUAAAAUAUUUUUAUUUUGCCACUUUAAUCAAAAUAAUAUAUAUAUAUAUAUAUAUAUAUAUAUAUAAUUUAAAAUACAACAACUAAAUUAGUUUUGAUUGUAUAAAAUUCUUUUAAGUUGUUUUUUUUAUUUGUCUUGCAAACCAAGUUAAACAUAACCACAAGUUAAAUAAUAAUUAAAUUAUUCUAUUUAAUCAUUUAUUUAUAUAUAAAAUUCAGAAUUAAAAAUAGAUAUUUUAUUUCAAAAUUUUAAAUAGCAAUAUUAAAAAGGUAGAUAUAGAAUAACUAUCUUACUUAUUCACUGAAUAUUCAUAAUGCAAGAAUUUUUGCUAUUGAUUAUACUUAAAGCUUAUCAUUGCUGAAUCAAUUUGUAUAGCAACAUUCUAAUUUCAUAACUUGUGGUUUGCAGAUUUGAUGGUAUAUGUCACGCAUGGUUCAUGCAUGACGUGAAAAUGUCUUCUUCAAUGUCUGGAAAAUCAAACUUUGUAAUGUUGGGUCAUUGAAUUGGAAGAUGUGAUCUAUAAUGACUCAGUGAAUUGAGUUCAUUAAAUUCAAAAAAAUUGUUGUGUGUUAUUUGUUCUAUGAUUUUUUCACAGACAUUUGCAAUGAAAAGAUUUGAACUAAAAGAAUUGUAUGCAAAGAGUUCAGCUUAGAAUCCACAUGUUGCAUCAAGUUUUAAUUUUGAUAAAAUCUACAGAUGAAUGAUUUGAAAAAUACAGAACAAUGCAUGUGUAUGGUUUAUAAGUUUUUUAAAAGGAAAAUUUUCAAUUAUAUCCUUGAAAUAUGUAGAAAUAACAAGAAUAUCCUUAUAUUCUUGAUAAUUAUACAUGUAUCCUUGAGUUUUCUAAAAAUUUCAAAAAUAUCCUUGGACUUAAUAUCUUAUCAAAAUAUUCCAGCUUUAAUCCAUUUAGAGAUCCAAUCUAUGCACCAUAAAAUAUAUAGUAUAGAACUUCUAGGAAUAGGUCCUACAUCCCUCCGUUUAUAUUAAAACUUUGAGCAAAGUUACAUGAUUAUGAAUUCAUUGUUCAAAAUCCAUUGUCACUCAUCUAGAAGAAAGUUGCAUGAAGAGGCCUUUACAAUCACCAUGCUUGAGAUCUCAUGAAAAAUUCUAACAUAUGUAAUGCUACUUGUAGCUUGUAGUGACUACAUUGAGAUAUGCAUCAUUUAAUUGUUAGUCAGACAAAUACUUCAUUUGAAAUUAUAAUUUUUUGAUUUCAUUUAAAGUUCAAAUUGAUCUUAUUGAACAAAACACAACAUACACUUGCAGCAUACAUCUAGUUCAAAUAAAACUAGUGAUAUUAUUGACUUGAGGUAUGAUUUUAUACAAUUGAUUGUAUUCUAUCAUAACAUAGUUGUUAUUAGAUAUAUAUUGGUAGAAAUUUUCACUUUGUGUUCUAGUAUCCUUCUUCUUUGUUGUAAUAACAACCCAAUUUUUGUUUUUGCUUCUUUGUAAGAAGAUAUAAUGAUUCUACCUUGAUAUAUUUGUAAGAAGUUUAUAUGUGUUGUUGUUUUCCUCGAGACAUGCACACAUGAAGACAUACACUCUGGUGUUUCUUUUUGAAUAAAUAUGCUAGAUGAACUAACUUGGAUUGAAUUCCUUCUUGGAGUACUAAAGCAUGUCAAUGUAGAUCUUUACACUGAGAUCAAGCCUAAUGCAUCAACAACUAUGUUAUGAGUGGAUUUAGAUUGCAACUUAUAAGUGGGUCAUCAUUUGUGUUAAGAAUAUUAAAAGUAGAUUUGAAGAGCCUUGGUUUGCAUCAAAUCCUUCAAUUCAUUUGGAUUGAAAUGGAAUUUAGUUUCUGACUAAUCUCUAAGUGUGUUAUUAGAGUAGCUUAUAAAUCGGCUAUUUUAUGAAAUGAGAUUAAAACGGGUGUAAAGAGAUAAGUAUCUUUACAGUGAGAGGGUUGAUUCUUCAGUACUUAAUUGGCUUCAAUUAAUAUUACUAUAUGCCAAAACAUGAAAUUAAGAUUGGAUUUUUUUUAUUCUAAUAUAAGAAGAAAAAGCCUCUUUUUUCAUUAGAAUAAAAAAAAAUCCAAUCUUUUUCUUUUUUUUCUUUAUUUCUUUUUCUUUUGUAAAAGCAUGUUUAUGGUACUACAUUUGUAUAUAUAUUAUGAGGCUUAGAAGUGUUAUAUAUACAUAUAUAUAUAUAUACAUAUAGAUAUAAUUUACACAAAUUAUAAAACACACCGUGUACUAAAGGUUGAAAAUAGUUAUUAAUUAAAUCUGAGCUGCAAAGCACUAUAUUGGUAUUUUUAAUAGCAUUUAUGAUAAACAUAUAUUAUUAAUUUUCCGGAAUUUAUUUUUAGAAUACAGUUACAUUUGAACUUUCAAUAGUAAUAAUGAAAGUACAUAUUUACACGUACUUUCAUAAAUUUUAAGAAAUAAUAAAUACUUGUAAUUUUUUUUUUAUUUCAAAUCAAAAAUCGUACCUGUUUCUUGUACCAUGUAGCCAGAUGGAGCCUAAACGCCACUUAUAGAUUAAAGCAAACGUCAUACAACAGAAGUAAAAACAACAUGAAUAUAUAAUAGCAAAAAAAUUAUUAUUUGAGACCAUUAAUAUAGAUUUAAGUAUUGCACAAAAUUAUGGUAACUCGCAAUUUUGUGGUGGUCUGACUUCUCAAGGUUUUUUUUGAAAAUAAUUUAGCACCAUUACUGCUUAUUGAAAAUAAUUACGAAUAAUAAUAUCGAAGUACAAUACUUUAGUAAGUAUAAUUUAACAACAAAUAAAAAAGAUUUUUUAUUGAACAUAAAAUCAUACACAUGCAAAGAAACUUAUAUAGAGUACAAUUAUUUUACAAAUAUAUAACCAAUUGUUUCUAAAAUUAAAUACAUUUUUUAAUUUUAAUGCUUUAAUUUUAAUGUAAAAAUAAAAUAAAAUAAAAUAUUAUAUUAUCAACUUGUAAAAUGAUUACAUUGUAAAGGUUUUCUUGCUAUACCUCAAAAAAAAUUAAUGAACAUGGCAGUACACAAUCAAACUUUUAUUGUAAUUAAUAAAAAAUCUUAUGUUCUUUGUUGUAAGUUUAUAAUUUAACAGUAGUCAUUUGAUAAUUAAAAAUAUAUAUAUUUUUUAAAUUUAACUCACAAUGUCUUCAUAAUUUGAUUUAAAAUAUAGCAAUUAAGAAUGAAAUUAAAUAUCAGAUUAAGCAGCAUAUUAGCACUGGAACCAAAUUAGAUCCUUGCAUAUUAAGUGAUUAUGCUAUAUACUCUUGCGUUGACUACAUCUAAAUACUCUUUAGCUAUUUUCAUAUCCUUAGUACAAAUGAGAUGCUUUUUUGGAUAGAUAGGUGGAUGUUGUAUGAAGGAUAGUAGAAUUAGAGCAACAUCAAUUUUAUUGUUCCUUGCUUCCCUCCAAUAUUCAAUCGAUGGUAUUGGGAUGAUGGCUAUUGCAUAAAUUGCUUGUUGAGCUUGAGCAGUAUGAAAAUAAGCAAUGUAAUUGACAAUAGAUUAUUGCAUAAAUAGUACAUUGUUAAUUGUAUGUAUACAUGGAAUUUUAGAUAACUGCCAUCAUUUGCAAGUGCAUGUGCAAUUUUGCAAAUUCACAAUAUUAAAUGACUGCCUCGACAUGCAAUAGAAGAUAGUAUUAGAUGAAAGAAUGAUGAAGUAACCUCGUGCAAAUAUUAGUGACCAUUAAAUCUUCUACUAUACAGUAAUUGAAAAUGGUCGAGUAAUUAUGUUAGCAAUAAUAUGUUACUCAUUGUACCAUGCUAUGAGUUGCCAAUGAAUUGUUUUUAGCAUUGGAAUUAACAAAAAUUUAAAGACUUUACAAUAUUUAGAGUGAUGUGGCCAAAUUGAUUUUUGUCAAAUUGUAACAAUGCCUAAUAUUGUAGUCCAAUGCUCAUCAAAUACUCUAUAGCUUCUUCAAAUAGAGUAUAGAUUUUUAAAAAUUUGAUGUUGAAAUCUGAAAUAGUUGGUACUUAUGUUAUUGCCUAAAGAUAUUAUAUAAGCAUUGUAUUCUUGAAUUAUUUUUACAAGUUGUCUACUAAAUGGUACAUACAAAAUGUGUGUUUGCAUGUUGGAAAUGGAAUGUUGAUUGCAUCAAUAAGACCUUUUUGAUGAUCAAACAAAAAUGUGAACUUCAAAAGUUUGGAGUUUAAUGGACUAGAUGUAAGAAUUGUUGUCUUCAGUUUUUGCAAGAACCACAACCAAUUGUCAUUACUUUUAGCAUUCACAAUGCUAAAUGUAAUAGGAAAUAGUUACCUCUCUACAUUGAUUAUUAUAGCUACAAAAAAUACUCUACAAUAUUUAUAUUUUAGAUAGGUGUUGUCUAUGUUAAUCAUGAAUUGACAAUAUUACAAGCCAUAUAAGCUUACAUUAUAAGUAACAAACAAUUGAUAAAAGUAAUUUUCUUCAUCAACUUUUAAUUUUACAUAACUCUCAAGAUUUGUUGUCUUGAUUUGAUGAUAAUACACUUUUAAGUCAUUAAGUUGUCUUGAUAAGUACAAAUUAGCUCAAAAAUUAUUUUUUCUUUUGUACACCAUCUCAUUAAGUAUGAUAUUGUAAUGCCAUUAUUAUAUCAAAUAUAUUUUAAAAUAUCUACAACUUUGUAUUGUGAAAUCUCUUUCAAUUUGUUCUUUAGUUUGCUUUCUACCCAACUAGUCCUUGCAUAUUGGUUGUCUAAGUGCUUAGCACCAAUGUUUGUGUAUAUUGAGACAUAUGUCCUAAUCUCAAAUUCAUUUAAAAAUAUUGAGUGAAACUGUAAUAUAUGAGGUCUCUAUUUGCAAUUGUCAUUGCAACACUUUACAAUAUAUCUUCUUUGCUUAGAUUUGAUAAUAGAUAUUUUAUGAUGCUUGCUAAUUAUAUUUUGAGCUAUGGCUUGCUUCAAUUCAUUACUACUACUACUACUACUACUACUACUAAAAGUAAUAUCUACAAUAAGAGCACUUGUCAUUUUAAAGUAAAAUUUUUUCUUAGCAAAUUUUUCAAAAGACAAAUCUUUUUAAUAUGAAUGUAUCAAUCAAUAAUGGCUUGAUUGAAAUAGAAACUCUAGAGCAUUUAAUUGCAUGAUGUUGCUUCAAUGUGGAAUUGGCUAAUUUAGCUAUAAGAGUUUCAUCUACAUCUAAGUCAACAUAAGGUUAUAAACUUACCUUGUUAGCUCAAAAUUAUAAAUUAUAAGUAUAUUUUUAUCUAGUUCGACUUGAAAUUUGACAUGAUUUCUUAUAAGGAGUUUGUAAGUAAAUGGUGAAAGCUAGUAUGGGCAUACUACUAGCAAAUAUAUUAAUGAAUUUGAAAAUUCUUCAUCAAAGUUGCUAGAAACUAAGAUUUUAGAUAUGUUGUAGGACUGGGUAUGUGUUAACUUGAUAUAGAAGUGACAGUAGUUGCUCCUUUGAAAGUUAUUUAAUAUUAUGAACCUUAACAAAUUUGUAUGAGCUGAUAAACAGAAACUAGCAAUUCGGAGUAGCUACAUAAUGGAUUGGAGUACAAAAUGGGUUGGGAUAGAAAGAAGAAGCAUAAAUUCACCAAUACUUGUAGUUCUAUGCCAUGACUUCAAUUUUGGACAAUUUAAUUGGGAGCACAAUUGUAUGAAGAGACAUCACAAUUGACUUUAAGCACUAGCAGCAGAUUUUUCAUUUUUCUCUUACUAUUUAGAAUAUUUGUGGAAAAAGUGCAUCAUUGGUGAUAUACAAGAUAAGCACAAGUGACUUUUUCCAAAUUUUUUGUGAGCCAAGAGCAACAAUUUUUGAGUCAAGAGCAAUGCUCUUUGUACUAAUGGACGAAACACGUGCAAUAGCUGCAUCCCUAAGAUAACCUCGUUUUUUUUUAAGCCAGUUACAAAUGAAAUUAGAGAACUUGCUAUUGAAAAUCAAAAUCGCAUCUUUUGUUUAUAAUGAAAAACAAUAGGCAAAGGAAUCACGAAGAAAGUAUGAAUCAUGUAAGAAUGAGGGCCUGAGCAAACAAUUCACGGAACAUGCCCUAAUUGAAUAAUGCAAGAAUGAUGUGUGACAUGAGUAUACACACACAUUAACAAAAACAAUUUACAGAAUAAAAUAAAAAGAAAGUCAAAAGAACAAAAUCUGCAACAGAAUAUUUACAAUAAGCACAAUAUUUAAUACUUUAAUCUCUCCUUUUACAAAUAAUCUCUGUUGCCCAAUAAUCAUCCUUAUUACAAAUUGAAAUUCUUGUAUACAGUGAACAAUAACAAUAGACAUGUAGAUAAUCCAAACAUGAAAUAUCACAAACAAACCAAUUGUUAUUGCUGAAUUUGUAUUCAGCAUCCACAAUAAACCAUCUAAGACUUAAUAUUUCUUUUAAAAUUCUAAUACUUGUCUCAAAUGUGAAAAUGAAUCAAACUCACAAAUUUGAACAAAAAGAUAACAAUUAUUUGAGCAUAUUUUAUUAGGAGAUCUUGCAAUUGGUUAGUAAAAGAAUAGCGCACACAACUGCAAAACAUUCAAAAUUAGAUUCAAGUACAAAAUCACAAAGAACAAAAAUCAAACAAAAAUAGAGAAACUCACUCUAUUCUUGAUCAAGCUCCUUCCAAAUGACCCACACACAUUGCCUGUCUUCAUGCAUACACAAUAGAUGUCGAGAGGAGAAGGAGGCGCACCGAAGAUAUCAAAAGGAGGAGAGGCUGAAUAUAUAGAAGGAAGUAGCCUCUCACUGUUUUGUGUUAUAUUUUCCGAUUUCCUCACUAAAAAUAGAAUGCAAUCAAUUGUAUACAGCCCUACCUUGAGUCAACAGUACCACUGGUUUUGUUUAAACUAGAUACGAAUUGCAAGUGUGUUGUAUUUUGUUCAAUAAGAUCAAUUUGAGCUAAAUUGGAUAUACAAGAAUAGGAGCUAGAUCGAUUACAAGAUUAGGAGCUAGAUCGAUGAAACUUGUGAAUGCUUUUGUUGACCAAAAUGCCGAUUUUUGAAUGUUGCGAUCUUCAUUGCGAAAUUAGGGCUGUGACGCAACAUCAGAAGUCUUGCUUAGGGUAUGCUGAGUGACCUCGUAAUUGAAGCCAUGAGGAACUAGCAUCCAAAUUUCUUAAGGAGAGAAGCAUUCUCAGCAAGUUCUUGGUCACCGAAUAUUUGAUUCUGCAUUUAUUGCGACUGCUUACUGCGAACCACACAAGAUUAGUCUAGACUUGUCAUCUCAAUGAUGCCGUUGUGAAAUCAUGCAAACCGCAAGACUUUGAGGUCUGAAUUCCCGCAUUAAGACAGAUUGGAACACUUCAGCAGUGUCAGAAUGAGAGACGUGAGCACGAUUCUCCACAUCAAUCCAUCAAACCACAAAAUUAUUCGCAUCCAACCCCUGACAUUGAUCAGUCAAUUGCUGCGUUGGACGAGGACAACGAAGACUUUGCAGUGCCUUCUUCAAGAGAAAGAGAGUGCAAACGCGUUGAGCAUUCCAUGGGGUGUAAAUCCCCAGAAGGUGCAUAGAAAUAUUCCUAAUUCCGAGCAAUCCGACACAUCCUUUAUUAUCGAACAUACACAACGUGGGUAACUGGCACAAUGACCAGGACUGGCCCUGUGCGUGGUUACGAGUUAUUGAUUGAUUAUUUGCUUGAACUCGAGGUAUCCCCAGCUAAGCACAUUCCGCAAUGUGAAAUUCCUCAACUACAAUCCCAGGUCUUGAUUGAUGAACUUGAUUCAAGGUGAGUCGGUUCAUGUGAGCAACCUCCACACCCUCACAAAGACAGUUAAUGCAGUGCUGUGCACACCAGCUAACAUCCUGGAGGAGGCAUUAAAAUGGAGCUGGAUCUUGCACUGUUUAAGACUCUGCCGAUCAAUACCUGCUGCAGUCGCCACUCUUACGCUUGGGCAUAGUCAGAUCCGCAGUCGCUGUGAUCCAAACGGGUCUCUCUAUAACGACCUAGAGUUGUAGCUGCUGUCGUGCACGAUGAAGUCAGUUCAAGCUAUGGUCGUGUUGCUACUGUUGGCAGCUCUGUUGGAGUGUGUUCAACAUUCAGAGGCAGGUCGAACGAUGCUAACUGUUGGAUCAGAAAAGACUUUGAGCAGCCUGUUGCCUAGCUGCUCGCCUCCUCCUGCCCCAGUGGACGUUCCUUACACUCCCACCACACCUGACACUACCUCUCCCUCCACUCAUGAUACCUACACUCCGACUACUCCGACUACUCCAUCUGAGCCUUCUCCGGUGUAUAGCAGCCCACCUCCCGCUGAUGGAUACUAGCAACCUUGAGCUCUUGCUUCGGCGGUGCACGGCGUGAAAACAAGUGAGUCUCGGUCCUUCAUGUAGAGGGUGAGGUGUUGCACGUAUGUGACAUGGAUAUGAAAUUCUCAGGAUGUUAUAUGUAGUGUAACUGAUCGCCGUUUUGCUCGCGCUUGCAUUAUGGCUAAGGUUGACACAUACGAAUGUAAGCCUCAAACAAAACGUUUCGGUAUGGUGGCUUGCAGGAAUUUUUGCAUCGCACUCGCUUGAUGUGUGACGUGGAAUCUGGUCACCACGACUGGCUUGUAAAAGCACGCCGAAGUUGGAGAAGUUGUUGACGCUGAUCUGGUUUAGUGCAUGGCACCUUUCUUUGUAGAUCCAGAGAGAGUGCCUUCGUUCUAUUCAGAAGGGGUAGCGUACAUUUGUUGCUGGAUUCCUUGUAGGCUAAAGUAAGAUUUUAUUUAAUAUUUGAGCUCAGAAGUAGUAUCUCACAAAAUGCAUACAUCGUUUAGAUCCACUUGUCAUUCAUGUCAAUUUUUCGUGUUUCUAUCACAAUCAUUUCAUAAAGUAAAAUUUGGAGCUCUGUCCCUGUUAUCAUAGAAAUGUUUAGCAUGAUAAAUGAAAUUUCUACCAAGAAAUCACCAAGACCAAUCAAAUCACCAUUAUCCUGGAAAGAGUUCACUUUCUCCGAUCUCAGGAAGUAAUCACGACCAGCUCAUGGACAAAAGCAACUUGCGAGACUCCAGUUUUGAUUGAAGAAUUGAAGACAACAGCAUAGCUCUUGUAUUUGAUAUUGGUAGACAGCGUAUUUGAUAUUGGUAGACACUCUCAGAACCCUAGUUUGGUUGCAUCAUCUAAAUGAACUAUUCAAGCUGCCCGUUUUCCCACUUCAGAAUCCUAGCAGGACUCAAGCUCUAAUACAAUAUCGUAGCGCAUUUAGUAAUUGUAUAUUGUGCAAAUCAAACAGUUCCUACACACGUACACCCACCCUUGAUUAGGAUUAAAUUAAUCAAAGCGAAGCUUCUCAACACCACCUCACCCCACCAUCCACAGGCUGAGAAGCACAUUCUUGACUGUCAUGUCAUGAUUCCAAUUCAUUCAGGUCUUGAAAGACUGCGUGGCCUCCUCCGCUUCCCCUGUAGCCUCUCCCUCGGGCUCUAUCGCCUUGCAAGGCUCUAUGGUGGUCUUGGUGAGCGAACCGGAUUGACGCCUGCUGAAACCCUUCGGUUGGUGACAGCGUUGCAUCUGGCUACCUGGAGCGGAGCACUGCAAACACUGACAGGUUUAGGGGGUUUCACUGUCGAGAGGAAAUAGAGGUCCUCCGUGGAGAGCAUUUCACUACAGGUUUGGGGCCGUCUGCGAGGACUUCUUUACGCCUGCUGCAUUGCUACCAAGACAGGGCCUCCCUCUUGUGCGGUAAAUCACCCGAUAGUUGCACAAGAAAAGAUCAUUUGUACGCCGGCCCGUCCUAACCUCGGCACGCAUGUAGCUAUAAUAAAGCUUAGUACCGUUGAUCCAAGCAUGACCAAAACCUGCCACGAGCUUCGUUUUCACUGUCUAGGCAGCCGCCCAGUUCUCUCUGCAGUGCACUCAUUCACAAGGCGUUGUCGCAUAUGAAUCCGACUCUCUUUCGGAGUGAAGGAAACAGUCACUAACAUAAUACCGAAACAGCGAGCUUUGGGGAUGUGCACCAGCCAGGCCAUAUUCUCAGAAACGAGAAUGCAUGUUCACAGCUUGGCCAACGUAGACGGCGAUGCACGGUCCCCAGUCAUUAAGUCCAUGGUGGGUCGCAGUGUGGGGGUGACGACCAUAAUGGCGCUGCCACGCGCAGAUUACAAGUCGCCGGCCCCCACAGGCAAGCAGGCAGGCCAGGCAAAGCAAACCUGGUUUUGUGGAUUGGGACCUGGUACUCAUGCACUGGAAUGGAAAUGAAAUGGCAAUGAAGUAGAAAUGAGAAAAGGACACUCACUCACUCACUCUCUCAUCCAACUGGGCAGUGCCGAGGUAGGCUGUCCCUCCCUCUUUCCUCUGCUUCCCAGAUAUUUUCUGCUGGCUCGAACAGUCUUGCGUCUGGAAUUUUUUUUAAAAGAGAAUAUAUUUAUCUACAGCUACAAUAAAACCUUAUUUCGAUGAAUAAAAUUGAAAAUAUUAUAAAAAAUUUAACCAAAAUUAGAAUCUAAGCCUAGUCGGAUCCGGCCAAAGCAGCCGCGAAACUCAUAUGAACCAUUCGGCAGAGUUGAAGCAAACAAGUAGGGUAGCUUAUAACCACUCGACCUAAGACCGAGGUUCUCCGGUCUGAUGCAGGCAGUACUAUUGUUUCCUCGGACUUAGAUGGGUAUUCGUACAAUACUCCGAUAAUACUCAAUCGAAAAAAAAAGUAAAAAAUAACAGUAAAGAUGAAAGCAUUGGUAUGCAAGCUCCGCAAAGUCACCACUACCCACAAGCGCCGCAAGGCACCGUCACAGCGUUGUUGCACCACCCCCUGCAUUGCAUGGACUGUAGCUCCGCACCACGCAGCGUACUUCUUGAUCACCAUGCGCCGCGCCCGAUGCUCGCACCCCCACCAAGUCAAAGCAUCGUCUGUCGGCCCAAUUAUUACGUGAUGAAUUAUGAAGUCUGCUCACUGCAUGCUGCGCCGACCAUUACAAGCAACGCUUAUCUACCACAUAGGUUCUGUGCUCUUGCCACUCCACCAGUCGAGGUGCUCUCUGCUCAGUGACUAAGUGCAGGAGUAUUUUGGACCAGUUGCAACGGGAGUGUAAACGCUGUGGUUCGAGCCGACGAAAGUUCAACAGCGUGUAUACGGUGCGAAUGUGUGUAGGGAGUGGUCGGCGCAAUUGCGAAAUGGUGCUUGCCGCGCGUCGAUUUAGAGCAACUAUAAAUUGAGUUGGGUUUUCACCGGGCUACAGAGGGAUUUGUGCUCGGCUACGGAUUCAAUUUUGCAGUCAGUGCAGCGUACGCUGUAGUUAAGGGUUUUGAUAAAACAUCUAUUGAGUACGGAUACUCGCACAAUGAUCAUUAACUCCGUUCAAGAUACAGUAAGUAGACUUUCGGCUCGCGGAGCUGACUACCAGAGAAACUUUUAAAUGUAGACUUGAUACAUUUUAAUAAAGGCCAGUGAAAGCAGUGACAUAGACAGAGAGGUACAAUGAAUCAUAUGUUGCAGCUUCAUUAUAAAUUGCGAAAUAUCAUGAGGUUACACGCCUCCGUAAUUGGAGAGAAGGCAGGAGGAAACCAACGCUGCACUACACUGCAGUCUAUCAACCCCGGCACCACAGGAACUGUGAGAAAAUUACGGGGUCAACAAGCCUAUCCACUUCCCUCAAGACGUCCACCUUAUUCCUCACUGCCUGGGUCAAAACCCUUACACACACUGCCACUGCACGUAACACCCUGGCAAGAACAAACAAAUCCGGAAUAAUUUAUCUCCAUGCUCGCAGCACCUUCAUGGCAAAGGUCGCCAGCUCCCCGCACCAUUUAAUAUGAAAAAAACAUCUCCAAGGGACGAAUGCCAGUGCCUCAUACCAACUCAGCUAUUAUGAAUCCUCUUGAAAAAGGCGCACAGUUGAUAACCUGUUACAUGAGUCAAGAAGACCAUCAGAGAUGGUUAAACGAUCAAGAAAAAAGGACAAUUCCUUGCUCAAUCAAUCGAAUCUCAAUUCAAUAAAAAUCAUGCAUCAGUUCAGGUUGCGAAAUUGGCUCGUACCUCUUACGACAUUGGCAUCUACUCACAAUCACGGACCUCAGUAGCCGCCUGCAGGUGGGCUUCCAGAGGGAGAACCUCCAGAGGGAGAGCCCCCAGAGGGAGUUGGGCUAUAUGGGGGGCUAGAGUAAGAAGGAGAUGAUGGAGUGGUAGGAGAUGAACCAGACGGGGUAGGGCUGUAAGGGGGGCUAGAGUAAGUAGGCGACGACGGGGUAGGAGGAGACGGACCAGAUGGGGUCGGACUGUAUGGGGGACUGGAGUAAGUAGGAGACGAUGGAGUAGAAGGAGAUGGGUCGGAAGGAGUUGGGCUGUAUGGGGGACUCGAGUAAGAUGGAGACGAGGGAGUUGUAGGAGAUGAGCUGGAGGGAGUUGGACUGUAAGGAGGGCUGGAAUAGGUAGGAGAUGACGGAGAAGAACCAGAAGGAGUUGGGCUGUAAGGAGGGCUAGAAUAUGUAGGAGAUGACGGAGAAGGACCUGAAGGAGCAGUAGGAGAUGGACUAGAAGGAGCUGGGCUAUAUGGAGGACUGGAAUAAGUAGGAGAUGAGGGAGUCGUAGGAGAUGAACUGGAAGGAGUCGGGCUGUAUGGAGGACUAGAGUAGGAUGGAGAAGGGGUCACAGGAGACCCACCGGAGGGAGUACCAGGAGAGUAAGGAGGAGAACUGUAGACUGGAGUGGGAGUCACAGGGGAAGGAUCGGAAGCAACUGGGGGAGAAUACGAUGGAGUGUAGGGAGUAGCCGGUGGAUCAGUGGAGGGAGGAGGAGGGCAGAGAGUCAAACUCGGGAUCAAGCUUCCCAGGCCUGAAGACGUGAGAAGCACCCUCGCCUCCGUGUUGACGAUACAAGCGCAGCAGCUUAGAAGAGCUGCGACGAGAAUCAGC
rnacentral:lncRNA from 1 species